AGGACUAACAGUUGCCUCAGCGCACGUCUGCGCGGCUUUCCUUGCGGCGCCCCUCCGCGUGGUCUAUGAUGGUGCAUUUUGGUCCAAUCAGGCCGGGUGUGGUCGGCCUCAUUUUGGAUUACUUCGGUGGGCUUCUCUUCGGCGUGGUUACGGUCUAGUACACCUUAGUGUGCUUUUCUCAGCAUGGUCCUUCCCAGCGUGGCUCGUCUCAGCAGCGUGGUUUUCGUCCGUGUGAUCGUCCUCUGCAUGGUUUUUCACGGUGAGGUCAUUAUCAGCCAGCCAUCAGCCUUCAGCGUAUUUGGCCACAUUUCUUUUGGAUCUGCCUCUGCUUGGAUCACUUGAGCGCUGCACCUCAGUCCGGACCAGCCAUCCUCAGUGUGCAUUGCUCAGCGCAAUCCGCCUCAGUGUUUUUCCUGAGCCUAGACCUCCAUGGUGAGGUCGUAUCUUGUUUCGUCAUUGUGGUCGGCGCUAUGGUCCGAUCUGCCUCAGCAAUCGGGUCACUUACGUGUGGAUCCUGUCAGCACAGAUCUCUCCAGCGCGGUCGGCUGCCUUGGCGCGAUCCACUUGGUUUCUCAGCGUUUUUUAGCCAGCUGGGUUCUCUCAGUUUUUCUUCAACACGCUUCUUUUCCCUCAGUGUGAUUCUACUUGGAGAGCUUUUCUGUUCAGCUUGGUUCCCAGCGCUUCUUUUUCUCCACAUGGUUCGCCUAGGUAUGGUUUUCUCUCAGCACGGUUUUCUUCUCUGAGUCAGCGCGGCACAAGUCGCAAGUCCGCGUGGCCGCACUGAUCAUAGCCUCCCCCUCCACGCGGCAAGCACGCAUCGCCAAAAGCAGAGGCGAAUCUGUGCCGCGCUUUCGCGGCUGGGCUCCAUCUUCGUUUUGCCGCAGUGGCUCCGUAUUCGUUUUGCAGCUAUGGCUUGGUCCUCGUUUCACGACCGUGGCUCGGUUCUCGUUUUUUGUUUGUUUGUUUGUUUUGCGUCCAUGUCUUCGGCCACAGCUCCAUCUUUGUGGCCCAGGCUUACAGAAGCAGGGGUGGUAUUGAGGCCCUUUGAGCCCCGAGGUUGGUCGAGUCCCAAGGUGAGUGGCCUAGGACACCGGCUCAGGCCUUCGGAUUCUAAGCCCCGGGCUGAGUCGGAACGCACUGGAGCUGAAACCAAAUCGGGUCUGGAGACCCCUGAGCUUUGUAGCCUGGUGUGGCCAGCACCAAGGUCGGGAGUGGGGUACGUGUGGCUAUGUGGUGGCAGUUUUAAUGCUGAGAGUGAGGGGCUCCGUUCAGAAUGUUCACGCAUGGUGGGGGAAGGGUAUCGCGGAACGGAGGCUGGGGAAGGCUACUUAUUCGGAGUUUUGAACCGUGUUGUGAUCUGGUUCUUGGAUCCGAGUUGGGUGUGUGUAUGUGUGGGUCUACAAUGGUUCCGAGUCCAGAGUAGAGUCACGAUUGGAAUCGGGUAGAGAUUCGGGUCUGGAGCCGACUCGGAAUAAAGGUGUGGAGUACACCGUGGUUCAGGAUUGGGAUCUUGGGGUGGAGGCCGCAGUGGUUGCAGUAGGUUCUCAACCUUCCUAGUGCAAUGACCCCUUAAUACAGUUACUCAUGUUGUGGUGACUUCCAACCAUAAAAUUAAUUUCAUUGCUACCUCAUGACUGCAAUGUUGCUAUUGUUAUGAGUCAUUAUGUAAAUACCUGUGUUUUCCGAUGGUCUUAGGCGAUCCCUAUGAAAGGGUUGUUAAAGCCCAAAGGGGUCACAACCCACACGUUGAGACCUGCAGGGUCAGAAUCAGGUCCGAAUUGGGGGAAGGAAUAGCAGAACUGGGAGUUACCUCCAGAUUUUCAGUUGGAAUUUGAUUCUUUCCUGUGGUUUUCAGUUGAGAUCCAAGAGGCCCAGGUCUCUGUUGGGGACCAGACUGAGGGUUUCUAGUUAUAUUUAGGCCUGACUGGGGAGUACAGUAAGAAUUAAAGUUGGUUUUGAGUGUGAGCACAAAGUGGUCUGAGGUAGGGAUCAGGAUUGAAGUAUAAAGAGUCUGGUUUUUAACAAGUGGGAAUCACAUUUUGAGACAUGGGGUAUAGAAAUCUUUGUCCCAUGUGGGUCAGAGUUGAUUUAAAGGACCAAGGCCAGGGCCCAAACCUUAGUCCUCCAUUUUGUUCUUGCUGGUCACAUUCCCUUUUCUCUAAAAUGGGGAGGAAUGCUUUCCUCGGGAACUUUUCUGGGCAUAAAAGGGAGUAAGUAAUUCAUAGAGGUAAAAAUAGUCUUAUCUUAUAUGAUUAAAAAGUGUAAAAGAUUUCUCAAUAGUCAUAGGCACAAAUAAUAUGCAUUUAACAAUCUUUUCUCAUACGGUGUGCCCUUUGUUAGGCACUACCAAAAAGGAAUCUUUUCUGCCCCUACCCAGCCACGGGCCUAAUACACAGCCAUCCUCAGGCAAUACUUGCUGAAGGAAAGCAGGCAGGCAGGAUUAACCAGAUUUCUAUGGUGUCUCAAAUGAUCCAUUUCUGCACCUGUUUUUCAGAUACUCACUAGGAAAAAAAUUUAAAGGAUUGGAUUGCUUGAUUAUGGUUCUAUUUUAAUGUGUUACCAAACACACUGAAGAAAAAAAGUGGAUCUGUUUUGGGACUUAUGCUCCAGCUAGAAGGGUCUUUUAAAAUUGCGAAUCAGAGCAUGUCCAAAUUCAAAUGAGGAGAGCACAAAUAAAGAAAAUUAUGAGGCACUUCCCUGGUAAAUAUAGAUGAAGGUCCACUUACAGUAUUAACUAACUGAAUCCAAGUUCUUAGACAAGUGGGAUUUCUCCUUGGAAUAUAAAGAUGAUCCAAUAUCAGAAACUCUAUCCGUGUAAUUCACAGUAUUAAGAGACUGCAGGAGAAAAGCCAUAUUGUUUUCUCAAUAGAGGCAGAAAAUUUAUAUGAUGAAGUUUGACGCCUAUAUAUGCAUUUGAGGGGGCUGGAAGGACAUUACUUAGAAAGCCAAAAACUAGAAGAGAACUAGACGAGAACUUCCCUUGAUACAGUGUAUAUCCAAAUCUAACUUUUAAGUAAACUUGUGGGAGAAACUGUAUUAUUCCUGGUAAGAUAAGGAGCAGGCCAAGGGUAUUAUCCUAGCCACCUCCUAAUAUGAGGAAAAGAAAUGGAGAUGUGAGACUCCCAUAGCAAGAAGAGCAAAACUAAUGAUUUAGAGAGAUUAGUUGUAUUUAUAUUGGGGUUGGCAAACAUUUUGAUGUUACAAUCUUUGUGCACUUAAAAAUUAUUAAGUUCCCUCCUCAAAUUUAUUUAAGAUGGACUAUAUUUAUUGGUGGUUACAGUCUUAGACAUUAAAAUUAUGUGCUUAAACAUAGAGCUGCAUAAGUGCAUAUUCCAGUGAGGUCCUAUCUUUGGAAAACUCUGACUUUGUGAGAAUCAAUAUAGAGAAUGAGGUAUGGGCACAUUUAUUCCUCAGACCAUCUGUGACUUUUCCUGAGAGGGUCUGAGAAGGCAUCUCGGAAAUUUCUUUGGACUUUUCUUUGAAAACUGCUGAGCUACCUGAAAGAUAAGGUUUUGCAGCAAAAGAAAUAUUUGGGUAUAUACAGUAUACCCAAACAAACAAACAAAUUAAAAAAAAACCCCACAUUUCUUUGUAACAAUAGUGAUUUAAAAGAUGUAAGAAGUGCACUCAAAUACAAAUUAGAAUAGCAACAAGAUUGUCUGGUCUAUACAUUUUUGUUUUUUAAGAUAAUGUUUAUGGGAAAACUGUAAAUUCCCAUUGGAGAUAAAGGAAGGUAUUUGGAUGUGCAGAGACAUUUGUUUUCUUGGAUGGGAAAAUUUAGCAUUAGAAACCUCAGUAUUUUGCAAAUCUAUAAAUUUAGUUAGAUUGCAGUCAGACUUCUAGUUGGAGGGUUAAACAUCUCUUCCUCAAAAAUGUAUGUGGAAGAAAAAGAUGUGCAGAUGCCAAGUGAACUUUGAAAAACAUUCCAUGGCUUAGCAGCCAGAAGGGUGGAGUGACAGAGACCCAGAACAGAGCCCAGUGAGCUCAGCCCCAAGUCUGGGGAAGGUGACAUAUGAUCAAAGUGGCACCACAUAUCAGUGGAACCUCCUUGGAAGAUGUUAAAAAACAAGUCAAAGAGAAACAUCCUGUGAACUUAAGAGUCCUUAGAAAAAGGGAGCUCCAAACCGUAAAGUAAAAGGCAGUUGCUAUUUAUUAAGGAAAACUACAGAGAAUAUUUUCUAGGGUGGCAUGGAAGCCUUAAGCAGGACAAAUCUCAGGACUAAAAUUUAUGAACUCAAAUCGAUGCAAAUUAAAGAUUUCUAUGAACCAAAUCCACCAUGGCCCAGUGCCACUGUUUCCAUAAUUGAAAGACAUGAUUGGCUUUUUAUCCCUUCUCAUGCGUAAUUCUGCCCAUGACAAAUUACAAGAUAAUCAGAACACUAAAACCAGGGAGCAGCAGCUAAGAUGACGAGAAAGCAAAUCAGAGGGAGGUAAGACAAGAAACUCGCAGGAGGGUUACCAGUGAAGAUAUGCUCAAACUUAAGUCACCAGAGAAAUGCAAAUCAAAGUGACAUUCAUUUUUCUCCUGAGAAGCCUUAGAGAGUAGGAUAAUGCCAAGUAUUGGCAGAAGGUAGGGAGCGAGACUCCCUGCCUGCCGCAGGUGAGAAGGGAGACCGACAUAGACAUUCUGGAAAGCUGGCCAGCAUUUUUUUUUCCUCAAAUAAAAUAUUUUAUACCUGCGGCGCAACAGUUUCCCUCCUGAGUAAACAUGCUGGAGCAGUUCUCCCCCAGAACAAGGAGAGGCUGUGUGUGCCCGCUCAGCGCAGCAUGGCCUGGGGGUGGUGGGGUGGUGGGCAUUUGGCUCUGGUUGCUGUGGUUAGAAGCAGGGGACUAGAUGUACACUUCACAAGAUGGAGACACAUGGAAAUGGUGCUGAGUGACACAGACAGCAAACAGAAGGAGGGUUUCAGCCCCUGCCUCCGGUGUUUGAAUUCAAAUUACACCCCUCCCAGACCUGCGCUAACAGGUCAUGCUGUCCAUACGUACAAUGAUAUUAAUAAACUACUCCAGAGCAGAUGUCUGAGUGGAAGGGAGUAGGGGGUUACAGGAUGAAGAUAGGAUGCAAAAGCACGGAAGGAGCAGAGUGGUCCUUUUAAACAGACCCUUUCACAAUAACCGUUUUAUGGGCCGAAGGCUGUGAUUUACUCUGUGUUACGCACUGGGACCCAAGAGCCAAGUAUGAAGGAGUGCAUGUGCACCCAUCACUCGCCUGCCAGAUACCCUCUGUAGACUCCUAUUUCUAGGAACAUCAGCCUUUUACAAGGUUGGCUUGCCCUGAGCUCUGACCAUUUCUUCUCUUGCUGAGCUUGGGCCUCAGCAGUGUUCUCUGUGUGUUUAUGUGAUUUAUGUCUCUGUGCACACAUGUUCUAGGUGCGUGUAUGGGUGGGGUCCAGAGGUCGACACUGGGUGUCUUCCUCUAUCACUUUACACUUCCUUUUUUUUUAAGACAGGAGCUCCCACUGAACCUGAAGCCCACCAUUUUGUCUUGACUGGCUGGCCAGUGAGCCCCUGGGAUCUUAGUGUGUAUAACCUAGAACUCCAGUCAUGUGCUGCCAGACCUGGAUUUUAUGUGUGUGCUUGGGAUCUAGCUCGGGUUCUCAUGAUUUCCAGCAAUCACGAUUCCCAGUUAGUACUGUAGCCACUGAGCCAUCUCCCCAGCCCAAUACCAACAUUCUUUUAUCAUAUCAGCAAAGUAUUCCUCCCGCUUCAGGGUCUUAAGGCUAGCCACUCUGCCUGACUUUUAUUUUCCCGUAAUUCUCAUAUCUCACUGGAAAUGCCUUUUCUGACCUGCCAUAUCAAUUAGUCUCCUCAGCUAAUUGCUACCUCAGUCUCUGAAGCGUGGGCUACACUGUGGUCGUCUUGUUCCUUGGGCGUGUCCACUUAAGUUAGCUCCCUGUCUCCUCCACUAGAAGGGAGGUCCUGGGUGAGCAUGUGUGUCUUCUCUGUAGGGUUAGCACCCUGCAGGUGUGUCACACAUUUCUGGUGAGUGGCUUCAUUGAUUUGUUGAAUGAAAGGAAAGAGCAGGUCAGGAAAGUGUUCUUCCACUUUCUGAAUUCAGUGAGAAAGUAAGUGGUGAAGAUUUCUUAACUGCCACCUUGGUGUUAAUUGGGUGAAGGAUGGGGGUUGGGGGGAGAGGGGUGCUUUGUGUGUUGUAGUAUGUUUAGCAGCCUAAAUGGCAUUUACCUAGUCAAAGUAAUCCCUUCACAGUUGUGAUAACAAAACCUGCUUCCCAAGGUUACCACAUAGCCCUUGGGGUGGGGGUGGGGGGCACUCCCUGCCAGGUCUGCCUUAGACUGUUACAAGGAGCUGGAUGGAAAGCCUUUCUGCUUUAAACACAGGGGACCCUGGCCUUUAUCCUGCCAUGCACUAAAUCCAUGCCCUUAUGGUCCCUAUGAGGAAGACCCUGGCCUAUGCCUGUAUAAUAGAAGCUCCUCCAUCUCUCCUCAUCGGUAUUAAUAUAUUUUGGCAGGUAAUCCUGUCCUCACAAUGCAUGGGGUCCCAUUAAAAUCUUUACAACAAUCUUAAAACAAACCAAACCAACCAAAUAAAACCCUACUUAUUGUUUUGUUGAUGAGUGUCUUGUCUGCAUGUAUGUAUGUAUACCAUGCCUGUGCCCGGCAUCCCUGAGGACAGAAGAAGGGAUCAAUCCCCUGGAAACUGGAGUUUCAGAGGGUUGUAAGCUGCCACGUGGGUGCCCAGAAGCAAAUGUAGGUUCUUUCUACAAGAGCAGUGUGUAUUCUUAGCCACUGUGAUAUCCCUUACCCCGGUUUCAACCAUCCUUUAGCUGCAGUGCCUCAGUUGUGAAUAGCAUUGGCACCUGCAGCUUUACCAGUUUGGAGAUGGCCUGGAAAGAGGCUGGGUUGGGUCUUCUCACAGCUGCCAGUUAGGACAGACUAGUAAGUGGCUCUUGUGAACAAUAGAUCCAGAAGUUUACAGUACACUUAGGAAGAGAAGAGGGUUUGCCUCAGAGAAGGCUGCUUGGGAGAGUAAGUGGGUGGCCUCUAAUACUGGGUUUCCUUUCCCUGUGCUUGCCUCUGAUAUCAGCCUUUGCCAUGGUCCUCUAUGCUGCCUGGCCCCAGAAAGUCUGGGUCAGUGGCCAGAGUCCAGACUCCCCGGGUCCUGAUCAGAGUCCUCAGGAAGGCCUGAGAGAUUAGAGCACAGAACUCUCCUAGCCUCUCCCACUGGGAACUGAAAGCUUCCCUGAGCCUGUCCUAGGGACUGAGACCCUUGUUUGCAAUUUAAAUGUGCCCUCCUUUAUGGAAGAAUCCCAGCUCCUUGAAGAGCCUUGAGCUCACCCUCCUUAGCAGUUGUAGCCUUAGCCAGGGGAAGAAACUGAUCUAAUUGGCCUUUCUCCUAAUAAUGCUAAUUGCGGCAAUUAGGCUCUGAGAAUAGAGAAGGAGCAGAGCCAGGCCCACUAGUUUGCCCUUAGCUCAAAUCCAGGCCCACUACUCAGGCUGCUGUCCAGGUUGACUAAGCCUGGUUGGUUGGUGAAGGUGCUGCAUAAGCAAAGGGUUCAGCAGAGGAUGGUUGAAGCCUGCUCGCUUCCAGGGGUAAUCACAGUAGAUAUGUAUCUGAGUCUAGUGUUCAAUCUAGUAUCCAUACAGGUGACUCUGGGCCUUGCCAUGUGAUCCUCCCAGAAGAGGGUCUAACUGGAGCAUAAAGAUGGUUUGAAUUAAUCAAUAGACGAAUAUCCACCCUUUCCUUCCUCUGUGUGUGUGUGUGUGUGUGUGUGUGUGUGAGAGAGAGAGAGAGAGGGGGGGGAAGAAGGGAGGGAGAGAGAAAAGGAGGGAGAGAGAGAGCGCGAGCGAGCAGGGGAGGGGGAAAGAAAGAAGAGUGAGCAGGGGACCAGGGAUAAGGGCUUAUCUGGUCUCGCAGGAAGUUAGGUUUUGAAGCGUAUGGCUCUAUGGAUUAAGAAACCAUUCCUCAGUAUGGCCAAUUAGUAGAUCUAAUCCCCUCAACCUCCUAACAUAUACUAAAGGAUCAAUGUUUCUUCACUCUGCAGGGUCUUGCUUUCAAAGCACUCUGGGUCCUGUUCGAGCUGGGAGCUGGGAAUCUGGUCUGAUGAAAGGAAACACAGCACAGGCAUAGGCAGCCUGAAUGCUUAGUUAUUCAGAGGUUACACCAUAGCUGACUUUGAAUCAGUAUAUAGUGUCUGCACAGUACAGAGCCUUUCCAGGAAGUGAAUUAAGUGUGGGAGGCAGGGAAGUGAUUAUUGCUCCAUUUUAUAGACUCAGCCAUUCCACACAUACUUGUUGAAAGUCCACCAUGCAUCGCACAGCUGUCUCAAGGAGGGAUUUUACAGGAGUCAGGUCACGCCUGUCCUAUGGUGCUUUGUGUGUUGUUAUACACUGAAGGGAGUAUUCUUUGAGGGCUGGAGAUAUAGAGAAAGGACUAUUAGGAACCAACCAGAACCCAUCUGGGAUCCUAGUUAGGCACCAAGACCAAGAGGGCACUGUGGAGGAGGAAACAUGUGAGAAAGAAGCUAGCCUUCUAAACCUGGGUACAGAGCUUCAGGCCUUGCUUCCUGUGAGGAUCUUGGGUUUGUUCUGAGAUCACCGAGAGCUGCUAAGGCUCUAAGUUCCCAUUCCAUUUAGAUCCCAUUCCACUCAGGGAACCAAGUGGAAUCCACAUUUUAAAAGGCUCUUCCUUGCUGAGUGGAGAAUGAACAGGAGGGGAAUGGAGGUUAUCAGAAGGUGUUGUGGCCUCCCAGAGGAGUGACAAUACAAAAGAAGGGAAUGGGUAGAGGAGGUAAGCAUCCUGGCUUGGUAGUGGACUAGUUGGGUCUCAGCUAGGAGAGAAGGUGUUGGAAGUGAUUCCAGGGUUUCAGGUUUAUACUACUUUUUUUGUUGGGGGUGGAACAUGAGUUGGAGGAGUGGAGUAUGAUGUAACAGAUAUGGUGGGUCCAGCUAUUGGAAAGCUAGUUUUUGUCAGUCCAGGAGCCCCUGGUGCUGAGGGAAGGGACUAGUGUAGGGGAAGAAGGGCAGCACUACUUAGUGGGUGUGGAACUGGGGACAGAGCUAGCAGGGUGACAGGGGAUAGCUGGACAGGAAAGAGGAACUCAUUCUUGCAGAGGUCACAUGGAGUCAAUGUUCUAGUCUUAUGAGGAUUGGCAGUGGACAGCAACCAGCCUAGAAUGUGCCUCCUGCCAGUGUGACUAUGACACCUGCCUUCCUCUGUGACUAGAGAGAAGGCCUUAUUUCUCAGUGGUUCUGUUUUCUCUCUGUAUUCCUAGAAUCAAGAAUAGCAAAAGAACAUUUCUCCAUAGAAUGUGCAGGGAGGGUCACCUCCCUCAGGAGGCCUCGUCCUUGCUAAAGUAUUUCAUAAUCUUGGAACGAUGGAAAAUCCUUCUACCCAUUUUAAUGCAAAGCUGGGCAAGCUUUAAAAAAAAAAAAAAAAGGCCUUGAAUAGGCUGAGAUGAAAAGCAAAGGGGUUGCCAGCGCUAGAGACUGGGGGAGGGGUGUGCAAUGAGUGGGCAGGGAGAUUUUGGGAGGCUCCAAAGUUAGCAGUUUCUGAGCUUUACUGCUCAAACCUAGAGGCCCAAACCAAACAGAGCAGGUCCAGGGUUCAAGGUGCAAGGGGGCAACAGGCCUGUGUGGAAGAUGUCUCUUUCUUGUCAUUGUUCCUGAUUAGCUGUUCAAACAGCCUUCACAGGUUCUGCAAAAAAAUGGUUAACCGUGGAUCCUCUAUAUCUUCUACUUGGUAAUUUUUAAACACAGCUGAGCCCCCAGUGCCCUUCCUGGAGGCUCAGAGGUCAGAGGCCAGAGGUCAGCACAAACUCUACACCAUGCCUGCCUUGCUUUUACCUCGUGUGUCUAGGAAUGAUGUACAUUAGAGUAGAGGCUCUGAUACCGCCCUCGCUCAGGUGCCAGAUCAAGGCUUCAUUCUCUGCCCUUUGCCCAGGGUUUAGUGGGGUUUGCUAAUAUUACUUAAUUCCCAAAUGAACCUUUCAGGUCAGCAUAAAAGAGCUGGGACUGUAUGGCAAAACCUGGAUUGGGAAGAUGGUUCAGACUGUUAAAAACAAGCUCCCAACAGUACAGUGGGAGGGAAGCAAAGCAACCCCCCCCCCCCAGGCCUGAAGUGUUUCCUAUCAAUCCUUUUGCCAAGGGAUAUGUACCUAAAGGUUGUAGGGUCACACCCUAACCUUAACCACUCAGGACUUCUGAGAAAUAGCAUUUCAUAGCUACAUGUACUGCCACAACUGUACACAACCAAGUGCACACACAUUCAUCCUGUUCCCAGCCAGGGCCCAGGUCUGAGUCUCAUUCCUAUUUUACCUUCUCUUAUCCUGGGUGCCUCUACCUUGUAAUAGAUGCUGAGACCUACUUAGACCCGUGACUGUGCCUGACAUCCAAGGACCCCCACCUUCUGGUGUCACCCACCUCACCCUAGCUCUCUGUGAUUCCAGCUUUUCUAAGGAAGGCAGGUAGCCUCUCAGCCAGUCAUAUGUCCCAUGCCAGAUAGUCAUGCCGGCGGCUCCAGUGCUCAUUAACUACCUUUAGGCCUUGUGGACUUCGCGUUCUAUGGAUGCGAUUUAGGACUCCCAAGAGUACCACAAGAAAGGGAAUAGCAAGCAAGAAGAAACUCAGCCACAUAGAAGGACUUGUCUGAGGCCACUGGGUGCCUGACAAGAAACCUGCCUCUGGGGAAACCAGUGCUCCAUGUCUGUCACCUUGGCAGAGAAUACUCUUGGAUUUAUGCUUCCAUAGAAGCAGUCUGGGGAUGGGUAGAGAGGCAGCUCCUGUUUUCCUGGCUCUCUGCUUGGGAAGUCACAGCUAUCACUGUUGAGAAAGGCAGCCCAGGUUUGGAGCAGUUGGAGGCUAUCCCCGAGAAUAGGCUGGAUAUAGAGGCGUGGGUGCAUGUAAACACCAUCCUAGGUAUAUGGAAAGGCCACAGGCCACCGUGAUAAGGUACCACUUCCUCUUCCUGCCUGGUGGGCUGCUUCAGUACCACAUGUCCUGCCACUAACUGGGUAUAAACAAAUGGGCCUGAUCCAGAUGUAAUGAACAGAUGCCUCUAGCCCCCACUCCUGCUCUAGCCCCCAUUCCUGCUGCCCUGACUUUCCUCAGUGGGCUGUAUGUCUCCUCUUGAUUUCUGUUUCUAAAACCACCUAAACUUCAAGAAUCUGGGAAAUAGCUGCUACAGCAAAUAUUUAUAUUCUUCUUGAUAUGUCAUUCAUUCUGUUCUUCCCAUAGAGGCCUAAAUGCUGAGACACUGGGUAGAGGGCAAGCAAAAGUACUGCCCAGAUCUCCCCAGAGGCUGCCAAGAGACAAGGCUGUAGUUGAAGCCUUUAGGGCCAUCAGCCCUACAUGAUGCUGCCCUCCUCAUUCUCUUCUUCCUAUGGGCGGGCUCCUUCCAAUGGGGCACUUCUUCCAAAAGCCACGUGAAAGGCCUUAAGUUCUAGAGGGAUAACCUGAGGGUGGCACUGAGUUGCAGGGUGCAGAUGAGAGAUGAUUGCAAGGCUGGUAGAACCCUCCAUCUGCAGGGCUGACUUCAAAGCUGCUGCUGGGCUUAGCCCGCUGCAUCAAAGUCAGCCAGUUAAACAGUUUGCACAUAAAAGGGAGAGUGGAGGGCUUAAAAGCCUUCCCGUGUAGACAGGCAAGCAUUCCACCCUCUUCUCAGGCACAAGAGUCACUAGAGGAGAAAGUAACUGCCUCUUAAAGACACAGAAGUCACCAUACACCCUGGUUUAGGGUUUGAAGACUACAGCCUUAGGCACAAGCCUAGUGAGGCACCUGUGUAGAGGGAUCCUCCAUUUGCAUCCAGCUCCCUGCUUUAUAUCUGGCCUUGUAUUUUGCUUCUCUGCCUCCAGCACCUAUUUGGGGGUUGGGGGUGGGCAGGCUAUCUGGCUGUUGGGAAUAAGGAGGUAGUAUGGUAUGGCAGCCCUGAGGGAGGCUGCUCAGGUUUGAUUCUAGCUUUUAGUCUAAACAAUGGCUUCAUACAGUGCCUUUCUUCCAGUCCUAGCAGCCUUGUGUGGGUACAGUUUGAGGAGACCCUUUUUCAGCCUCCCCAAGAACGCUCUGGAAAGACCCAGGAGAAUCUACCUUGCUCUCUGUCUCCCCACUCCUGCCUUCCUCUUUGUCAGGUCCCUUGCCUGACUCCAGUAUACUGUGAUGGCAGAAGUACCAAUGUCUCCUCGAGCAGAGCCUAACCCAGCUUGUGCCUUGCAGAGUGCAGAGGGGUGCUCACCCUGCCCUCCUUCGGGGAGACAUCAAAGGGAAACAUUCCCUGCUGACCCCCAGUGAGUGGGAGAAAAGCAGCAGCUUGGCUCAGCUGGCUGGGCUGGGGAUUUUCCAUCCUACCAACAACAUCCACAGGAUAGAUACCCCACUCUGGCUUUUUAGGAACUAGGAACCAGUGUUUGACUUUCAGCCUGUUGGUGCCAUGAGGGGCUCACUGGCUUUGGGGGCAUGGCCAGCCACUUGAGGAACUCCGUGUCCUCAGUUUCCUUAUGACAUGCUGACGACUGGUUUGGAAUCUUAGCAUUUCUCACCCUAGCAGAAUACUACCUCAAGGUCCCCUGAGAUCUAGCUAGCCAGGGGAGAUCACAGUUUGUGUGGGGACCCAAGAAAGGUAGAGAAAAGAUUGCCUGCCUUUUUUCUAUUAGCUGCUUACCCCUAGGCCUUUUGUGGAGUGCACGCUCCAGCCUCCGUAGCAGUUCAGCACAGCCCAGGCUAUCCUAGACUGUCCCAAGUCCUCAAGGGUUUCAGCACCUCCCAAGCUGAGGGGACAGGAAGUCCAGAAAUAGAAGUCAACAUUUAUGCUAAACCAGGGGACCCCUGCUUGACUAACAUGGGCUUUUGGCAGCUUCUGGCUCUCAGAUCUCCAUGUACAAUUUGUAGGCUAAAUACUCUAUACUACUCAGGUUAUCUAAUCCUGUCCCUUAAGAGUUAGACUGUCAGGUUUUUCUCUGAGUCACAGCGAUAAGUUAUAGUGAACAUGUUUCCCUUCAGCCUAGAGCUCACAGGACAGGCCACAGAGAAUGCAGUAUGGUUUCAGAGAUGUCCAGGGUCAGCAGCACUACCUGAUGAGAUGAUGUUUGCCUGCCCAUUCUGCCAGGGUCUGGUCAUACAACUAGGCUGGAGCAGGCUUAGAGGGCAGGAUUAGACAUAGUGAGAUCCAACAAAGGCAUAGAAAAUAUCAGAAGUGAGGUGGCAAUCCAGGGUGCAGGCUUGUGCUUCCUGUGUCAAUGCUGGCCUACUCUAUGAUUAUGGAAAAAAGUAGAAAAAAAUCUUUAGAGAAACCUAUCUAAGUACCAAUGUGGCUUUUGUAGCAGACUGAAUUGUGGGAGGUCCUGGUGAAAACAUAUUGAGCUUUGACAUGUGACUGACUGUGCCUUAGCUGAGGUCUUCCCUCCCCUCCUCUCAGCCAAAGCAAGUACUCAGUCAGGUUUCAACUCCCACAAGGCUAUCUUCAAGUAUUGUUCUACAGAUGGAGGUGGGGGCUCAUUUCUGGGGUGUUACAGAUGGGGGCGUUUCUCAUUUCUGCCAAAGUUACUUAAGGGACACAGAGACGGUAGACCUGUUGCUUUUCUAAUACUUAGAAGUGGAAAGGUGGACGAGAAGGGGGAGGUUGGUCAGAAAGCCACAAACACUAUUUGCUUCUCAUCCCCACAUGAAAAAAGAUGGCGCUGGGGGGUUUACCCAUCUGUUCCUCUAUAUCUUGUCUGUGGUUGGCCUAGGCCCUUAUGUCACCACAGGCCACUUCUGAAGAGAGAUGGAAAUGACAGGAGUGGGCUAAACUGCGUGGACUGGGUAAAGUCAAUAAUAGACAGUGCCUGAUUAAGAACUAGGAGGUACAUGUCUUCCUAAGUCUCAUGGUGUGCUCCAUUCUUCAAGGGAAGCCAUUCCCAUAAGAGCUGGUGUGAAAGAUUUGAAGGUGGCUGUACCAGCUAAGGAGUUUUUUCCUCUGAACCAUGUAGUGAUGGGCAAGGCAGGUUGACAAGGAAGUUCUUUUCAAUUCGAAGAAGCUAAGGCAGUCAUCAAGCUUUGUCUUACCAGGAAAAUGUCAGUGUAUAUAUCCUUGGCCGCCUGGCCUAGAAGAGGCCACUCUGAAUGAUGACCAGAGAUCACCUAACACAAUCUGGUUCUGGAGAAAGAGGCUAGCACUGGAGGCCUCAUGGAUCCACAAGAACCCAGAGAGAGAACAAAGAAGCUCAGGGUCUUAGAGGCUUCUGAUCCACACAGCGAGAGUCAGGAGAGUUAUCAGAGGUGUUCCCUGCAGCUAUGGGCACAGCAUCUGAAAUGCUGGUGCUCCAGGGCAGUGUGUAUGCUGCUGGAUAGCAGGAAGGUUUCUACUGAUGCCUGAGGCUUGCUCUAGCUCAUAAAUCUCCACUUCUCCUUAGCACUGUGAAAUGUUUACUCUGAACUAAGCCUCUGCUUUAACAAGUCAUGUCUCAAUAGGAAAACCUUCGUUGAUGGAAUCGAAUGCAAUUCCUCCUCCCCCUCCACGCCAGUUACCCAUUCCUAAGAAAAGCACAGCAUUUUGGCAAGCACCCAGGGCCUCAGGAACGAGCAUUUGCAGACAGUAGUGUGGCAGAUAUGAUGGCCUCAUGUGCAUCAAGGAGAAUCUGGCCUCUAUGUGCUGGUCUUGCCAGUCCUUUAGACUGACAGUUCUGGAGUGCUCCAUCCUUCACUUCCAGCCCCAUUACCCAUAGAAGCCUUCAGUGGGAACUUUCAGAUUUGGUGCUGGUUCAUUCUUAAGACUGGCCUGUUGCUGUGAGUGCUGGCUCUAGGCUAGUCCUACCCAGUGCUGAGAGUGUAUACACACAAACACGUGGCGUGAUCUACCAGCCCUAAGACAACAGUGUGUUCUCUUUACUUAAACAGUAGUGUAGGUUUCCCGUAUGUUCCAAGUUGGCAGAGGUUGCUGCUAUGACCUAAAAAUAGCUGCUGACCCAAGCCUUGAUCCACAGGUUUUUUUUUUUUUUUAAAGAUUUAUUUUUAUUUUAUGUGCAUUAGUGUUUGCCCACAUAUAUGUCUGUAUAUAACAUGCAUACAUGGAACCCACAGAGGCCAGGAAAGGGCACCAGAGCCCCUGGAACUGGAGUUACAGAUUCACAAAACCAAGAUGGUUCCUUCCAUGUGAAACCCUUCUAAGAGAAUCAUCAAAAAUCACUGUAUUUCAUUGGUGCCUACACUUCCAGCACAGCAGGCAGAAAGGGGUGCAUUGUAGAGAAUGGUGAUAAGAUAGCUUCUAGUGGACUCUGGGGCCCCAGGCUCCAUGGAUAGAACCCUGCCAGGGAGCUUUGAAGCUCUGCCGUUCCUGGCACUAACAGGGCCCAAAGCAGCCUUCCCAGCCCCAGGCUGGGUCCUAGGAGAACCUAAUUGAUUGCAUGGGAAACCUCAGUCACUUAUGUAUUCAUUUAUUUCUUCAUCAAACAUUCACUGAAGGUUCCUGAUGUGCUCGGAGUAGAUUAAACACGGAAUAUAAAACACUGAAUGGAAGUGGUCAGUGUCUGCCCUCAUGGACCUUGAAUGGAAUUGACAGAGAAAGUCAGUAAACUUGUUACCACAAACAUGCGGUUAUACAUUAAAAAUGAGGGAUGGGGGUGCAGUUCUCCAUGGCUCAGUCUGAAGCUGAGAAAUAGCUUAGGCACGUUUCAGCUAAGAAAUCAGCCCUAGCUUGUGAAGGUGAAAGUCAGAGGAGAGCUUAGCAUGUUUAAAGAUGACGCCAAGAGAAUGUUACAGGAGCUGGGGCACCUUGGGCAGAUCGACUACUCCCUGGCUUUGUGACCUGGGCCCCAGACUUGAUCACUCUAGUUUCGGUUUAUCUCUAAAUCAGAAAUGAUAGAUAGUAUUCAUACGUUAGAAACUGCUGUGAGGAUUAGUGAAGUUAUAUGUAUAAAGCACUCAGCAUAAUGCCUGAAAACUCUAAGUAGUAUUAGCUCAGGAUUAUUCUUUAGACUGACAGUGCGCUCGGAGUGAGCAUGUUUUCUCCUUGAACAGUAGAGUGGUGGUUCUUUUGAAAUACCCAGAUGGUAAAAUCAGGACUCUCCUGUUAUUUCUGUCCCUAGGACUCUUUCUGGAUGCAUGGGCAGGCCCCUAGUGAGGCCUAGUACUCAAAAGAAAAGAGAAGGCUUUCUUCUACCUAUGUUCAGGGUGUUGCACUGAGUUUUCUCGAUUCUUUCAGCUCCAGGAGCCUCUGUCUGUCACAGAACAGCUUGGCUCAGCCUAGAGCCAGCACUCAGAGCUAUGGGAGAUCGAAGCUACCUUUUGGAGCUGAGUACAUUGUAUAUGCAUGUCCAUCAUUUAUGUACACAUUUAUUUGUAGGGCACAGCUAAAACUCUCCAGAAAUAUCCUGGGGAAGAUGAAAUUAUUUCUAGGCUUCAUGGUAUCCUAGUGGGGACCACCAAAGCCUCAUUUCCCACCCAGAGAGUCUGAGGAAAUUAAGGUCAACUGGUUCUAUUGUUUCCCAGAGUGCUCACAGAAAUCACCAAUCUUUAUCCGAGUCAGCUUAGCUCCAAGAACCUUCACAUGGGGGUGAAGAGUGAGUUAUAAAACUAGGGGUCCCAGAGUUGGAGAGAUAGACAAAACAGAGGAGAAUGGUUUGUCCUGGAAUUCACAGAAGAGAGCAUCCUGCUUCUGCCUCCUAAGUGCUAGGUCUGCAUCUAAUCUACCUUCUAUUAAAGCUAGUGGGCUUCUUUCUAGUCUCCCACCUUCCCUUAACAUAAUAUGAAAGCACAUUCCUUGGAAUCUGCCUGCCCCCCAGCAUUGAAAAUAGAAUUGUAGAAUUUUCUCUUAGGCUCUCUCUCUCUCUCAUAUGUAUAUGUAUAUGUAUACACACACAUUCUUAAUGACAUUUUCUAAAGUACCGUUGUAAAGUCUCGAAGUAAAACUUUCACUGGGGUGUUAAUCUUACAAUGCUACAUAAUAACACACACCUAACAAACCUAUGAUGGCUAAUACAAAACUCUUACAUAUUAGCCAAGAAGGUCUGGCAAAAAAAAAAAAAAAAAAAAAAUAGACCUGAAUUAAGAUCAUAGCAGGAUGCAAAAAUGUAUACAACCUGGGUAAGCCUCAGAGGUGGGCAGAGGGAGGGCUUCAUCUUCUUUUAAAGAUGGCAUGCUGCUUGGCUCAAUUCAUGUAACAUUGCUAUAAUGCCAUGUGUGGUAGUACACACCUUUAAUCCCAGCAUUCAGGGGCGGAGGCAGGUGAAUCUGUGAGUUUCAGUCUAGUCAGGGUAUAUAAUGAAACCCUGACUCAAAAUCAACAAAGGAACAAAUACAUUCAGUGAUGUACAGGCUAGUAGUUACCAGGGGGUCAGGAAAGUAGGGCUGGAAAGCAUGAGGUACCAAAAAGUGGCUGUGCAUAGGGGCCCUUGAGGCCACAGAAACAUUCUGUAGUGGCGCUGUACCCUAAGCUUGAUAUGUUCCUAUAGUUCUAAAUAUGUCGCUGGAGGAAAAUGGUCAAAGAGUAUAGGGAUUCUCUUUGCUAUUGUUUACAGGUGUAUGUCAAUCUGUGGUUACUUAAGAAUGGAGUGCUUAAAAAGUUACAUCUCACUUAAGUCAGUAGUACACUUAAAAAUACCAAGAAGUGAAUUAAAAAAUGUAAGAGAAAGAUGGGUGGGCGGGUAAAGAGUUAAACAAUAUAGAGACUUUAUAGUUCACUUGAGCAUUUGGAACAACUACUUCUCCUUAUGAAUGGAAGUUUUCUAUUUAUCAAGGUGAUUCUUCAUCUAAACUGAUGAAGUCAGUGGAAAAUAUCAGCACAAUAAGGAAGGUUACACACAAAUUUUAACUAGGUGAGUUAUGCUAAGGCUUGUGAAAAAUGUGGCAUGUCCCAUGAUUCUGAAGCAGCUGGAGCCACCCCUGUACCUCUGUAGUCUGACCUCACCCCUACCCCCUCAUCAUGGUAGGGUGAUUCUUCUAUCAAGGUGAGAAAGGCAAUGAUUUCUAAGAUUAUGCUCCCAUUCUGAAUAACCAUAAGGUCUAGGUUCAUGGAGAGACUCUAUCUCAGGAGUCAGGUAGUGAUAGGUCAGGACACCUGAUGUCCUCCUCUGGCCACUACAUGUGCAUGGGCACAUGCACAGCACAUGUGUUCUCCCCACCCCACCCCCCAUCCAUGGACCCCCCUAGAUAAAGGAAAACCAAAGCUGUAGCAUACUAUGCUUUAAGUCUUUCCACUUAACAGCUCUCCUGUAUGUACUCUUGUUGUCGAGAUCUAGGGAAACAGGCAUAUCUGGACAGCAUUUACAAUAGUAUAGGGUCUGUUAGCCAUUAUCUACCUAAAUCUCAUUUAAAAGAGGCUGAAGAGACAACUUAAAGUGAAUCCAUUUGAAAUAGAAAUCAAUACAUUGUGAUAAGCAGAUGAUUGGAAGGUUAUAUUGAAAAAAUGGUAAGUUAUGAAAAGAUUUGCUCAUAUAUAAUAACACUAAUGUCUGCAGAUACACACUUCUUUUAGAAAAAUAACAAAUUGAAAAGUUUUAAUUAGUUUUGUAAAGCAUUAUGUGGUACAAACUUGCAGAGAGAGGAUGUUGUUGCAGAAGUAUGGCAAGGUCUGGCUGAUUUUUGAGAGGGGCUGCCCUGAAUCUUCCAUGACCUCCCCAACUCUCCCUUUAAAAUGCUUAUCUAGAAUUGGCCUGGCUCUUCUUUUCAAUAGAUAACUGGUCUAGCUGUCUGAUUUUCCAUGGAGAAAUUCAUCAGCAAACUCUUUCCAACUUGAUGAAUUCUUCUAUAAGAUUUAUAGUUUCUCUUCAUAAGUGAUUUGCUUUGUGUGUGCUUAAUGUUGUUUGGUGGACAAGAGCAGCCUAGAAGGAGCUCAGUCAACAGAGAUGCCAGCAGGGAUAACAUAGAUGGGGAUGGGGAGGCACAGCCAUGUUCAAUGGGGAGAGCAAUUUCAGAGGGAACUAAUUUCAUAAGUGGUCGGUCAUAAGUGAAUACACUUGAAUGGAUAAUUACUAUUUUUAGCUGCUCUAUACAUUCAUCAAUAGGGGACUUGUUCCAUAAAUCAUGGCAUAAUCAGAGGCUCUGCAGCUGUUAGUAGAAAGGAUGCUUGCUGCUUGUCUGAGUAAAGCUCUAUCUUCGAAUUCAUGUCCAUUGGUGCAGAGUGCCCAUGCUAAACCUGCAAAGUUUCAUUUGGCAUUGCCUCUGGGACAUAUGUCUCAGUCCCUUGCCACUGUGUGCUGUCGGCCUCCUGAUUUUUGCAUUGUAUAGUAGCAUCCUUGGGAAUGUUCACUCUCUUCAUAAACUAUCCUUAGGAAGAGAGUCUGAGUUCUACCCAUUUAUUAAAGGUACCUUUUAGGAAGGUGGCCUUUUAACAACACCCAGUUUAGUAUUCCUAAUCCUGCACUACCAUCUACAUGACUUUGUCAGACACUGUUGAGUUUAUGUGUUGACUAGAAACGAGGCUGGUUCCAGGAAUAUAGCUAACAACCUGAGCAGAACAGUGAGCACGUUCUGUCUGGAAAAAGCCUGGCCCAGAGCAAAGGCCACAUCCCCCUUACAACAUCCUGGAAUCCCAGCCACGAGAAAAACAGCCCUGUCACCUGCUCACUUGUAUGUGCAUCUGUAGGUAAAACUGCUGCUCAGAGUUGCAACAUAUCGUAACCAGCCAGUCCUGUGCAGACAGCUGCAAGACUAUGGCACCUACCUGUGCAUAAGACACAUGAACAAGUACACAAGAAUGUAUGCCACCCAUGACCAAAGGAGGCACAGAGACAUGUAUCUUUGCUUAUGUAAAGUCUCUGGGAAGACCUAGCAGAACUGAAAACAUUUAGGAAAAGAAACUUGGCAAUUAGGUUGGGGUAGGAGAUCCUAAGUUUUGUGUUGUUGUCUUUCUUUACCAUAUUCCUUUCUGUACCCUAACUUAUCACCGUUUGAUUUGUGCAUGUACACACAAGGAUGUGUGGUGCAUUUGUGUGUUUUUUUUUUUAAUAUAAUACUAGUAUAAAAGGUUUGCUCUGAUGUGCAGUCCAUUUUACUGUGAUGUUUGCUUUUUUAGCACAACAUUAAUACUUUACAAAAGUCUUGUUUGAACAAAGCAGGUGUAAUUCCAGAUUGGGAGUGGCUGCAGGCAGCCACAGUAUGCAUGCUGGGUGGACAGCAUGCCUGUGUGGAGCUGGGAGUCUCUGGUUCAUGUCACUCUGGAGCAGGGGCUGCUCUAGCACAAAGAAGGUUUUGAAAGGCAAAGGCAGAGCCAGAGUCAGGGCAGGCUCUGGGCAGACUCCAAGAGAGCCAGCAACCCUCUGCUGAAGGGUGCCCUGAACCCCAUUGCACAGGCAGGCACCUCCUGUGAAGUGAGAUUGCUACACAAGUCUCGUCAUCACAGACUUCUGAGUGGAGUGAUUCUGAAAGAAGAGAAUGAGAAUGGUGGGUCCUAUUGUGCCUCAUUAAAUAUUGAAGUUUUUAUGUAACUUUCCUCCAUUUCAGGUAGUCUCUCAUUUGAUGAAUGAAGAAUAACAGCAGUCCAUUUUUCAGUUCAUUUGUGCCUCUAUUGAUCUAAUCGACCGUUUUCUAUACAAAUGUAUUUUUAAAUUUAACUUAGAUCUUAUUCUACGACCACAGUUCAUAUUGCCAAAACUCUGCAUUAGGGAGGGCCGAGUUAUCUUCACCAUUGAAACAGGCCUGCUUUGGAGCUAGUUUGGCUCUGUCUCUUCUGUGGAAAUGACACAAUGUUGACCUAAGAGGGGGGCCCUCACUUCUCUCUACUGAGUCCCCAUGGUUGGGGAAGAAGAAGCUGUGAGCCCACCCCCAGACCUGCCCACUCAGGACAUGCCCAUGUUGGGCUUGUCUGUGGACUCUGCCCUUGGCAUCCCUGUUGCCCACCUGGGCUCUGGCAGAGAAGUUGGGCGGGAAGAGGCCAGCCGAGUACCCGCCAGUAUAAGAGGAAACGGAGAGAAACAGCUCCAGUCAGACCCAGAAGGGAGGCCUGGAAAAACUCUGCAGCUGGAGCAAACACAAAGGACUUUUCAGAUCCUGCAGUCAAGGUGCCCAGUGCUUUUCUUUUUUUUUUUUUUUAAUACAGCUAUUAGGGUGACAAGCCUUUCCAAAGGCCAGCAGUUGGCGAGAGUUUCCAGGAAGCUGGUCUGGCAUGGGGCUGGGAUCAUAGCAACUUUUAACGAGUGAAGUUCAGAAGGAAAGAGUCAUCAGGAAAGGUUUAAGGUUCAACAAACUUUUUGAAUUAUUUUGCAAAAAAAAAGUUCUGGCUUUCCAAUUCAAAGGCAUGUUUCCCUGUGAUGGUUUUAAGCCAGAGCUUAUUUCAAAGGCAACACAGGCUGCACGUUUCUAAUUCAUUCCCUGGAGAUAUUUGCCUAAUCCUAGAGACAAGCUUUGCAAGUGCCAUCCAGUGCCUGGAGACACUAGAGCCAUCCUACUAUCUUUCCAAACAGCCAUCCACCCACGUGUCUCUCCCCUCUACCAGUUUCUGUGGUUGGGAGUACACACAUGCACACACCUUCUCUAAGCAGGAAGCUGCUCUUUGCCAAAAGUGAAUGGAAUUCAGAUUUCCAGAGGGUAUCCUUGGUCUCUAGCUCCAACAGCCAUCUGACGAAGAAAGAUGCUAGUGUGUGCGCUGGGACUGUGAAGAGAGGGGCUUCCGUGUCCAUUCAAAUCUUUCUGGGCCCCAAGAAAAACCAACAACUGGCUGUGCUCUCCCUAGCCCCACCCAGCCUCAGUCACAUUCCUUCCCUUCCUGAGCCCACCCUGGGUGGCCCCACAAACCAGCUUCCACUCCUCCCUUCCCACCAGUGGGGAAACCUAACUCAUGUCCUCAUCAAACAGGCAACAGUGAAAAUGAAGGUCACAUUGCAAGCCCAAAACAGCUUCAAAGCAGAGAGGGGUCCUCCCCGAUGUCUGUUCUCACCCCAGUCAGAGGCUAUUCCCUUUUUCUCUGUCUAGCAGCCCCUAGGACUAAGUGUUCACACCUUCCUGUGCUUGCUUCCAGGAAAUCCUAGCCUACUUCUGCGUGUAACAUUCUUGGGCCUGGAAAUGAAGAGGCUGCUGUUUGGGCUGCUGUACCCUUCGCUACUAGAAUGUUCCAACAUAUCAGGGAUCUCUAUCCCUACCUAAGCCUUCCAGGCCCCAGGAUCCAGCAUCCCCGGGAGUUGUACAUUUAUAAAUGCUGACGUGGUUUUGAUAAUGAAUCACAGUAGGGAUCAGCAGUGACGAGGUAGACUGGCUGGUCCUAAGCCUAAGUUACUGGGAUUUGUACUUGUCUAGCCAGGGCGGGACCAUGUGGAGAACCUUCUGCAGCCGUCAGAAUGAAUGAGUGACUAUGGGUGGACAUUUUGGUUCUUUGCUCAGCAAGUCCUGAUACCUAGGGCAGAGGCUCAGCUCAAAGGCCACUCCCUUUGAUGUUGAAUGAGACUAUUUUCAAUGCCAUAGUCUCCUGGAAGGCAGGAUUAUUUCUCCUGAGAUCAAUUCUGGAGGCGAUUGAGGCUUUGCCAUCUGGGCCUUGCUCUCUCACCUAGUUCUAGAUGCUACAAGGUGCUCAGCUUGUCUAAUUACAGUUGACUGUCUCUACUGUCUAUGGCUCUAAGGCCCAGUCUGAUCCUCUUGCUUGGUCAAAAAUAGUGUUGUCCACUAGGGUUUUCUGGGUGUUCUGUAAAGUGUUAUUAUGGUUUUCCUGGCCAGCUUUACUCUCUUUCCUUGGCUAGCCUCAGAUCUCAUCUGUAAGUAUCUGCAUCAUACUUCAAGUCUACCAACUUCUCCCUGGCAGAGUCUGUAGUGGACUUGUCCUCAUCACCUUGGAAGGAUCUUCCUGUUCCAGUCUUAGGUUUUGAGUGUAGUACUUGAGAAAAAUGCCCAGGUAGCUAGCAGUAAUGCAGCCAUUUGAUCUAGCCCUGCUAGAUGUGACUGACAGAACCCCUUACAGAGGAGAUAAAUUCCAUCAGUAAAACAGAACAUAGGGGUAAGAAUUGGGCCCACUUUCUGGCUCUGGUCAUGCCAUUAGGAGGCCUUAUACUCUUAUCUCUGGUUGACUUCCAUUCUCUUGUCUUUCCAUUGUAUGACACCUCCAAGGAUGUUGUGACCCAAACCCAGACCAUGGUCUCCUGAGAUACUGUGAUGGGGCCAUUGCCCAUUGUUGAGACAGUCUGGUAAAGAAAAGCCUGGUAGCAUGGAGUAUGCAGAACCUUAGGGAAGAAUAACUUUGUUUGAGACAGAUCUCAUUUAUCUCAGUUUGUUCUCAAACUCACAGUCACUGAGGAUGACUUUGAACUUCCGACUUUGAACUGCAGCUCCUGAGUGCUGGGAUUACAGAUAUGUACAACUAGACCUAGUUUAUGCAGUGCUGGGGGGGGGGGGUCAAACCCAGGGCUUCAUAAAUGAUAAGCUAGCAGCUCUCUAACUGUUAAAUCACAUCCCCAGAGGGAAGAAUAUCUUCAGUGAGGCCCUGAGCCUCUGGGGUGAACGCUUUACCCGACCCCCUCUGCACAUAGCAUGCUAAGUUCAGUCAAGCCUGGAGCCUUUUGUCAAGCAUUGUUCCAGUGAAGGUCACCCGUGCCUUGUUUCUCCACCCCCCCCACCCCCACCUGCAUCUGGAGCCCACACUCCCAGCUGGUAGAGUUCAUAGGGUAGGUUUCUGUUUUCUGAAAAAGACUAUUUCAGUGUUUUGGAUUAGCAGAGUUUCAAUUUAAUUUAACAAAUUCAAGCUCAGUGGUGGUGGCACAUGCCUUUAAUCCUAGCCUUUUAAACUGCCAAGAGGCAGAGGCAGGCAGGUUUCUGAGGCCAGCCUACUCUACAGAAUGAGUGUUCUAGGACAGUCAAGGCUAUACAGAGAAACCUUGCCUCUAAAAACAAUCAAUCAAACAAACAAACAAACUCCAUAUUCAAACCUGAGGGAAAUAAAAGUCCAGCUACCUCCAAAGGAGGUAGACUUAGGCAAGAGAAAAAGAUCUUGGAGCAGAGGGCAAGGUGUUGGCUCACACAUAUGGCCUAAGUGUAAUCAAGGCCAGGGCAAGGGGACAGGCCCAGAACAAAUGAGCACUUUAAGUCCCAGUAUGACCUUCACUCUACCAUUUUCAUCUCAGGUACAGAGACCAGCUGCCUAGGAAAUUAAUGGUGGGGCCCAGAGGAUAGCUGCUUAGUGAUACCUACUUCAAUGAAGCUAGUUCUCUUGGGGCAACAAGUUUAGGCCCUAAAGCAGGAUAGGUGGAUUCACAUAAGUAAGAACCCUGCCUGAGAGUGAGUAUAUGUUUGCAGAGAGCUCUAUGUUCUCUAAGCCUCACCUUUCACCCUUCUUACCUGCCUACAACCCCACAACAUGAAUACCUCCUUUACUACCUUGCAAAUGCAGCCUCAUUUCUGCCUCAGUUCUCCAGUAGGGUACCACAAGCCACUGUUAGGACAGAGUUAUACUUAAGAGUUUGAUUUUAUAUGAGGGCUUACAGCCAGAGUCCUCAGAGAAAAGUCAGGUAGAAUAAAAAUUAUCUCUGAAAACAUUUUGAAUUGCACCCUUCCCCAAUAAUCUCUCACAGAACCCUCUGAUUUCUUGCUUCUGAGUUGUUCUCAUGCCCCCAAAGAAGAAGAAGCAGCUCUCAGGGGACCUGCCAAUUGUCUCUGGACUUCUGGGGCUGUAGCUACACGUGUGAAGAAAUUACUUAGGUAGAAUAUCUAAGCAGAUGGUGAGGCCAGGAUUAUGGAGCUAGAGUUGCUUGGCUGAGUAGAGUCUUAAACUAGACCCCUAUCUACCCCCCCCCCAUUCUUUUCCAUGUUUCCAAGAUAUCAUCUACUUCUCCCAUGGAUUCAGCCAAUGGACUUAUUGUCAGAUCUCUGCUAACCAGUCAUUGCCAAGGAGAUGAAUCUCAGGUGUGGCUUCUGCCAAGGACACCUGAAGUAUCCUAAAAGGAAUACAAAUAUAGGCAUAAAUGCUUUGGGGCACCAUGAGAAGCUUAAGAGGAAAGGACAUCCUAGUUCCUAGUCUGAGAUCUAGAGAUGCAGUGUGGCCUGGAGGCCAGUGAAGGCUCCCGGCUUCCUUAUGUGGCAGUGUCAGUCAUGGUACACGUAACAGGCUGAAUUCACAGAAUUCUCACGGCAGAAGGUGAUCAGGUGACCAGUGCCCAUGCCCAGACCCACCAUGGACUGUUUAAAUCUACCAAUUGUCAUAAACGCUCAUGUAUUACUGAGAGUGCCAGCUUACUACUUACUCUCAGGACUUCAACCUGACCUUCACCAAAGGAGACGUAGGCCCCCAGUGACAGUGUGUCCCAGAAUGAGCCUGGCUCUGCCAGUAUUUCUUAUGUGAUAGUAGCAAGUUUCUGCCCUUCCUGAAUCUUUAGCUUUCUCUUUUGUGAAGCUGAACACCGCCCCACUAGUUCUCCAGCUUACACGGAUAUACAUUAUGUAUAUCUGCUAGCUAUACUAUCACCAACUCUAGCACCGCAAGUGCAGUGCAGGCUAGCACUGAAAAGCUAGUUUGUAAAUACUGUGGCUACAUUUGGGUUCAUCUUUUCAACAGAGAGCCUGCUUCCUAUCAUUUGCAGGGCCAAAGGAAGGCAGAAUAUAAAACUUACCCCUCUCUUUAGUCUGUCUGAAGGGAGGUGCUUUGAGUUAGCAAGUCAGCCCAAUGAUGAUGGGGUCAAAUAUUGAAGCACACACACAGAGGCACCUUUCACUGUCAAAGGCACCAAUCUUGGAUCCCAUGUCCAACUUCCUCAGCAGAGUUAUGGGUGCUAGUCUCCUGCUUGUACCUCCAUUUACAGGAGUCAAAACAGCUCACAAGCCCCUUCCCCGGCUACUUCAGGCUUUAGUCAGGACUUGUAGCCUUCCCCUGCUGCUACCAUAUUCCAGUUCAUCCCAGAGCUCUGUCCUCUUAAGUCUAAUUUUAUCCUGUUUAGGACAGCACUUGGGAUGCAGCCUGACCCAUUUGAAUCACAUGGGAAAUCAUUACCUGGCAGUUUUUAAAGCUGUGGAGUCAAAUAAGCAAAACCUUAUGGGGUCUCCAGUCACAAAGGGAUACUUUAUACUUUCUCAAGUAGUACCCCAAGUCAGGUAUAUGACUGGGUACCUGUCCACAUUUGCUAAAAUGUAUAUACCAACAGGGGAAGAUACAUUCCAAAUGCGUUAAUACACAAAGAGAACUGUAGCUCACAGACAUUAAGAAAACUGCUUUAGGGUCCUGUGAGCAGGAUUGGAUGACCUAAGCCUGCUAGGGUUUCCUCAAAGGCAGGGUCCGUAGCCAGUGUGAGCCCACAGCAAAUGCAAGCUUCCCAGGGCUUCCUGGAAGACACUGUUUUUAGCCAUUACAGGCCCACACCAGACCUUAAGCAUAUGCAGAAAACUAUACAAGCAGUAAGAGGAAAGGAAGGUGACCAAACUAGCUGGAGAACCAAUCAGUCCAUUGUUCUUCAGAGCCCUUAUAGGGUCAUCACAAAGGACAUUUUCCUAGACACAGAUACAAUAUAUUGAAGCAAAGGCCUUACAGAGCCAGCAGAGCCAGCCAUGAGGAAGAACUGAUGGAGCCUGCAUACCCCAAGCCCUCAGGUCCUACUGGUAAACAGCAAUGAUAAUGAAAGGGUAACACUGGCCAAAGAGAACAACCUGAAAGCUGACCAGUUGAACAGAGGAGAGUCCAGAGAUGAACCAUAUGCCAACAGUGAGCUGAUUUAUAGUGACACUGAUAUGGCAGGGCAGUGGGAGAAGGAUGGUGCUGUAUCAGACUGGAUGUCCAAGUGGAGGAAAAAGCUUAUCUUGACCUUGACUUCACACAAGACACAAAAAUCAAUUCCAGAUGGACUGCAGAUCUACAUGUGAAAGGUGAGCUUUUAAAGCUUUAGAACAAACCAGAAUAUCUUUAUGACCUUGGAGUAGUCAAAGUUUCUUAAGUAGGACAUAAACAGCACUAUCCAGAGAGGAAAUGUUUGAUUAACUGGACCAUGUUAAAAUUAAGACCUUCUGUUCAUCAAAAGACACCAAGACGGGGCAGGACAGCCCGCAAGCAGGGCAGUAUUUACAAUACAUGUAUCUGUGUAUCUGACAAAUGACUCACACUUAAGAACACCCAGGACAGAGAGAGAUAAACUUGUGCCUGAAGAAGAACAGCUCUCAGUGUAGGAUAUAGAUGUCUUACAGAGAACUAUAGAUGUGAAGAAAUGAGAAUAUAGAAUGGGGCUCAGCUCACUGCGAAUUACAGACACCAUUUUGAUGCUAUGAGAAGCCAGGAUGGCUAAAAAGAAAAUGGUGAAAAAUUCCAAGUGUGUGUGAGGAUGUGGAAAAAAGUGGAAUAUUCAUAUGCUGCCAAGCAGGGGUAAAAGUUGGGGUGACUGUCAUGGGAAACAGCUGGUCCCUCAAUGACCCAGCACUUCUAUCCUAGGCAUACAAUUAGCAGAGAUAGCCAUAACUUUCACCAGACACAUAUGUAGAAUAUUCUUAGUAACUCACUACCCAGACCUGCCCAGUGGUCAUGGAUAGUGGAAUUAAAGAGCAAAUCACAGGCCACUCAGAGUGGAGUGUCAACGAUCAAAAGGUUCCUGAGACCACUGUUUUCUUCAGCCUCACGGGGUGGGGUGUGGCAUGUUCUCUCAGACAUCAGACUGAAUGAAAGUGCCAAAUACACGUGUGUGCCACGUGCAAUCUAGCCAUGUAGAUUUCAAACACAGGCAAAGAUAGCUGUUGCUGCUGGGAAGUGAGCUUAUGGUUGUUUUGGGUGUGUCUGUGAUAGGAAAUGGACUUCCUGGGGAUUCUAUUGCUUUCUUUGGAUGCUUGACUCUUGGGUAGGGAGAAUGCAUUAAGUUUGUACUGGAAACCUGUAUACUUUACUCUUUUGAUGUGUUCCCUUUUUACUAUAAGUAAGUUUGUAACACAAUGCCCUAUAGAAGACAGUAUUUUCUGAGCUUUACUAGAGACACAACUCAGUACAAGCCUAGAGGGACUGGCCUUACAGCCUGACCUUGUUUAAAAGGAUAUAUUACUCCAGUAUCCUGGCCAGACCACCAGCAGUCCCUAUUGUUCAGUUUCCACUUCCAGCUCUAGGCAAAGCAAACAGGAGAUGUGUUUGGGGGGGGGGGGCUCUCUCUGUUUUUCAGAGUACCUUUCUUUUAUGGUAUCAAUGUAGUAUGUACUGUCACACUACUCUCCCUGGCCUCUCUCUCUCCCUCAGAACAAUUCUAGGAGGUUGCUACAUCCCUUUUCAUGUGCUUAGAUGGAGGAAGUGAAACUAGGGAAGGUUAGGGGCACUGGGGGCUGCCUGUAGCUGGGCCAGUGCAGGCUGGGAGCCAGAUUGAGGGCAUUCGAUUCCCAGUCCCUCUCUUUCCCACUGAGCCACUCCGCCUCGCUUUUAAUUUAAUUAGGAGAACAUUUAAUCCCCCGUGCAUUUCAGAGACGGGUUUGAGCCUGGCCGAGGCCUUGUGGGGCUCUGACAGGGAUCCUGUGACUCAUACAGCCUUGCUCAGCCCUCCCGGGAGGGCUCCCAUGGGGCUUCUUUGGCACCUUGUGCAGACAGAGGUGGUCUGGAUAUUCACAGAAGACAGGACACUAGUCUGGAAAGACAAACUGGUCUCAUCUAUUCUUGACAAGCCCCCUUCCCUAUCCUCCUGGACACUGCCCCCAACAUGGCCUCUCCGUCUUCUUCCAUCAUCAUUUGCAGGUUGAGAAGCCAAGUAAGAGAAAUGGGUGCUCACUGGGAUGCCACAGCAGGCCCUGAUUGUCUCCAGGCCCUGAACAUCCCAGGCGAAGCAGUCCCAUCAGAAGAGCUAGCCCCUGGUCCACUAAUGCUCCCCUUCCAGAAGGCAUAGGCUGGCCCCAGCCUCGCUGACAAACGCAGAAUUCAGGAGACAUUAGUAGUGAUGUGGAUGAAAGCCAGGCCACAGCGGGCCUCCCUGGAAAAGAGAAACUCGAACGUCUUGGCGUGAGAUUCUGCAGGGUCCAGGAGAAAGUUGAAGACAUGGAAAUUCUAAUUAACGCACGAGGGGCUGGUUUUGCUCAAAGAUUUUUGAAGCUGUCAUGUCACAAGAGGCCCGGCAAGCACAUGCUCGCCCGGGAGGUGCUUGUGGGCACCUGGUGGGAUUCUUGCAAUGUUCUUACUUUCCCUCUGUCCUCUAGAUUUUCUUCCACCCAUCUUGGUAAACUGGGUGGCCCCUGAAUGUCAUCCCAGUGUGGGAUAACAGGCUGGUUAGUAAAUAAAUGUUGAGGCUUCCAGUUUAAAAUGUCACAACAAAAAAGUCAGAGGGCUCAGGAAUCAACCUCUUGGAAGAAACCUUCGGGGAAACCGCAUGGCAGAGUCAGGCUGAGCUAUAGGCUGCUAUGCUUAUGGUGGAGUUGGCAUUUAGAGAUGUUCAUCUUAGAUAUCCUUGUGCAACGGAUGGGGCAAUGGCUCCAGACAAGUUCUGAUUGAUCCAUCAGCUGGAGGGUGGGGUGAAGUGGCUCUCGGAGCUCACUGAGGUCAAACCCGGACAUGCUUCUUUAGCGGUGAGCUAAAUGUCAUGUCCUGGGCCCUAUUUAUGUCUCAGCAUCUAUGGGACAUACUUGGAGACCUUGCUUCAUUUCAGGCAAGGCUAAUGAUGUGCUUUCUGUGUCAGAGUAGGACUGACAGUCUUAGGGUUCUUUCAUCCUAGAAUUUUGGGGAGUGCUGGAAAAGGAGUAGCCAUGAGCAGCCACAACACUCUGCUGCUUGCCUGACCCAGGCUAGAAUCAGGGAGCCUUGAUGAUAGCCUCAAGAGGAUGUGAGAGGCAUUCCUGGGGAAAGGGAGGACUGAGUAGACACUGGAAAGAUGUGCAAUUCUGAUGGUUACAGGACCGACAAGGGCAUUCCAGCUGGUGGGAUACAUAUGAGCCCUUGCCAGUUUACCCCAGUAAGCAGAAUCCUGGAGACUUGCCCUAACUAUUAGUUAUAAAGAUACUCCCUAUCUCUCGUGAUUGUAGGUCUCUAUUUCCUACAUGGCCCUUAGAAGUCUAGAGCAAGGCUUUGGGUAGAGGAUUCAUGUUGAGGGAACUUGAGGAGUACAGGGCUCCCUUCCAAUGAUGUUAGAACCAGGAAGACAGCAUCUGACUGAAAUAUGUAUGCAGCGCCGAGGCCCAGCUGCCCAGAGCUGGAUGAGGCCUGGGGCUUACUUGAGGAGCUGCUGGUGAGUGCCUGUUGAGCUGGGGUCAGAGAAGCUAUAUUGUCUUCCCAGCAUUCUCCCCUGUUUACCUCUCUGGUUUUCAAUAGGCCUGCACCUUGGCCUCUCUGUCCCCAAACUAUCAGUGGCCAACAGGCUCUGAAAAGAGGAGCUUCACCCAGCCCCAGGGACCUUCCCAUAAUCAAGGCUACAGUGACCUCACCUCCCUAGGGCCCCUGGGCGGGGAGAGCUUGAGAUGGAAACAAAAUGUGUCUUUAUUUAUGCUUUUAAUUUGAAUUCUGGAACUGGCCCAGCAUGGUAAUACAUUUAACAUCAGUAAAAUGCUGAAGAAAAAUGGAUCUGUUUUUCUGUAACUGCUUCCCACCCACUCUGCCCCCUGCAAGACCCUAGUACACAUCUCUGUCCCUGGUAGACACGUACGAGGGUGUGUGCCUCUUUUUUUCAGUGUAGGUUCAUAGGGCCAUGCUGCAUCAGUGAGCUGCUGGAGCCGAGCUUAAUUACAGGCAUCAAUCAACAGGCUGACUGUGCAAAAGGCAAAGGAAUGCAGCCCUGGUGUGGGCACGUGGGCCCCUACACAGUACCCACGAUGGCCUAUCUGCUCCCCUAGGAUGGGGAGGGGUCUUGGUAAGGCCAGUAGUCCUGGUAGCGCAUAAGGGUUCUAGGACCCAGACAUACACCAGGUUUAUAGUCAUCCUCUCUGCUUACGACUUCCACCAAGGAUAGUGCUAGACUUCUACAGAUGUGGGUGUCUAGAUUCUUAGAUGCCUCAACCCCGACCCCAACUCUGCUUUGACCAGAUCAUAUUUUUUUGGCUUAAGCCCAUGAUCUCUCUCGAUCUCUACCUUAGGUCUUUUAACUCAGCCCCACUGUGGGAUCCUCCUUUCCUUCUUUCCCACCUUCCUAGAUUGGCUUAUUCCCAGCGGCUGCAUUUGGAAUAAAUUGGCCUAGAAAGGGUCUUGGUGUGUUCUUGGGUAGAGACUUGACUUUGAAGACUGUCCACCAACUCAGGCUCCAAGAGUGCUGGCCUGAGAAGAGCUGUGGUACCUGGAAAGAUGGUGACACACUAGGCCUAUAGAGACCAAGAAAGCAUCAUUCAUGUCUCUGAGGCUCUGUUACCUCAGAGUAGAGAUCAGAAUUGGCCUAGUACUCCGAGCAGAGUUGGCUUAGUGGCUUAGGGCUGCUUCUAGAACAGAGGGACAGUGGAUGUCUGGCUCCAGGAGCUUUGAGUAUACUAAUACCAGCACAGGUGGCCUUUGCCCCCAAAGGUGUGGUUAUAGGGCAUCUAUGGACUGAACUAUGGGUAUGUAUCACCAGUCUCCACCCUCCCUUGGGACCUCGUUGGUGCUCACAGUAGCUAGGAGAUGUGAGACAUGUCUGUCCAUAUGGGUAGAUGGUUUGUUGAGAGCACUACUCUCUCUUGUUGUAGCACAGAAGAAUAAAAUGGAAUGGAUACCAAUGAGAGGUGAGUGAUCAGGGGGAUAAGAAGGCUGACCGGCCUCUCUAGGCUUAGGUAAUACCCUGAGGCCUGCUGUGGUUGCCAUGGUGCUACUUACUAUCCUUACUCCUAAGCAGGCACUGGCAUAUCGAAUACAACACCAGCCACAAGACACCAGUGUUUACACUUUGAGUUGUCUCGUGCCCUGGACUUGAUGGAGAGACUUAACCAUAGAAUAAGCUACCUUUCUACCCUCUGAGGCCAGCCUAUACCUGCCUAGCCUGUCUGGACUCCUGCUCACACCUCUGUUCCCGCUUGCUAAUGCCGCCAGCCUGUAAGGCUAUCUUAGGAGGGAGAGUGACCCCUGCUUCUCAAUAACAUCCUCACUCUCUCUGAACUCAUGAACCCUCUCUACAUCUUACAAACCAUGAGGCACUGUUAACCUCCUAAGUUUGGGUGGCCUGGGAAGAUAGUGGGCAUGCCUUGUUUGAUCAUAAUCAUUCCUCUGACAAGCCUGCCUUCCCCCAGGGUGGCCUCAACUUGGCUUACUUAAGAAACCCUCAGCACUGUGAGUCCCAGUUUCUUCAGUCAUUGUAAAGUCAAGCCUGAACAAUCUAGGCAUAGGCCAGAAGCUUUAUGACCAAGUACACAAGGUUACAGACAUGAAUUUUAGUAGGAGUGAAAGAGUCUCAGAAUAUGAAUCUCAGGAGAACUAAGAGUAUGGCAUUAACAUCCUGACACAAAGACACUUUUCUAGGGGAGUAACCAGUGGGGCAAUGGUCAGAAGGGGUCUGAGUGACCUGCCUCUACCACAUCACUGCCUCAACUGGGUUUUGGUAGGAACAUCUGAGUCACAUGUUGCAGAGAAAUAAUGGCAUGGCUGGGUACUGGGGUUUGUCCUGGUGAUGUCUUGAUGGGGGCCCAAAUGGGGAGAGAGGAUGGGCAUGUGUCCCAGGCCAGCUGUGCCUCAGGGGAAGGCCAACUGGAAGGCGUAGAAAAUCAGCCAUUUCCUCCACCUGAAGGAGCCCCUGAGGACAGUAGUGGCAACUGGCAGGCAGCACCUGGCAUCUGCCCCAUGGCUUUGGCCAAAAUCCUACAGGGAAAAGCUAAAAAAUAAUGUUAACUCUCUUGAAGGAGUGGUGGAGGGGCUUAGGGAGGAAAACAAAAAACAAAAAAAACCAACCAAGUUUCUCAGACGCUCAAAGCAUGCAAACAAGUGGAAAAUGAUCAGUCUGGUUUUCCAUAAGUCAAAAUAAGAGGAUCAUGUUUCCAGAUUCGGUGGGAAAGCCCCUGCCCUUCUCUCCUGCCUGAGCCCUGAGGCCAGCCCCAGCAGCCAGUGUCCCCAGGUUUAUAAGGGUAGGCAUUGAGUUGUGGGUAGUGGGUAAAUAGACUGCAUCCCAGCAAGAGGAUAAGCUUUGCCCUAUGCCAGGGCAGUUCCCUUGAGCCCCAGCCUUUGUGGGCAAAUGGACACUCACUGUGACACAUGGGUGAUGGGGGUCAGCAGUGUCUCCCCUUCCAGGUCCAGGUCCUCUGCAAAGCUGUUUGUUCUCAAGAAAUGGGGUGUGCUUACUUCCAGCAGUGUAGGGCUCUUCCUUACUGUGAAGAAGGUAUGGGGAUAGCUCAUUAGGCUUCAGUAGAAACUUGAUCAUGAAGGGGAUCCAGAACUGGACAGAACUAGACUCAAUUGUCCACCCCUACCUGCUAUUGCUAUGGAAUAAACCUGUAAGCUCUCAAGAUCAGGUGAAGAGUGAGGACAGAGCUUAGAAGUUUCAGCCUUAUCCAUCAGGUUGGUUUACAUUGAGAGGAAUAAGUGAAUGGGCAUAAGUGAAUGCCCAUUCACUUACUGAUUGGUCCCCAGGUACACUAGGACUCAGCCUCCUAGGGUAAACCAUAAAGGCUGGUACAUUCUCCCCAGUGUUGUAGCUGCCCUGGGGCUGAGUUCCAGAACUGAGUGAGGUUCUGCCCUAUGUUAGGUUCUAGGCCUCUCACCAGCUUCACACAAAACAUUUGUGCCAAGAACAAAUGAAAGCACUGAUCUCCAGUACUGUGCUAUUCACACACAUACACUGACAGAUGAGUGGACCAGGCAACAAAGGGUGCUAGUUCCUCUGCCUAUCAGGAAUCACAAGCUGAAUUCCUUGUUCUGGUCACGAUACCUUAUUUAACCAGGUUCUCUUUGAGGGAGACCUCCAAACUGUCCCAAUAGCUGACUUCCAUAGCUCAGGAGACUGAUCCAGAUCAGUCUUCAUAGCAUUUCCAGCUUACUAGUGUUUGCUCUCAACUCACUUCUCCUUUAAAGUAAUUAAUAUAGAAGUAUUAAAUACUUCUGAUGAGUGGAAUAUUGAAAAAUUCACAGUGGUCCUCAAUUAUGGGAAUCAUCUGCCAGCCGGGUCCCUGGUUUUUGCCUGGCUUUUCUCAUCACAGGUAGCACAAAUGUGAUGCCAUAAACUUGGACAGACUUCUAUUCUUGUCAGUUUUUCUUACUCUGCAACAUUCUUUUCUUCAGGUAUGUAGUUAUGCAUCUAAUGAUCAUUUUAGCAGCACAUGAACCCAUCUUAGGUCUACCACAAUUAACUUUACUCAUCCCAUAUUUUAUGGACGUUCAGUCUUGUUUUAUGACAACCAGACAGUGAUGUAAUAUCAUCUUUAUUUACUUUGGUAAUAUUAAUAAGUGCUUUUGGAUUGUUCUUCUGCUAAGUCAUCACCAACUAUUCCUCCCCUUCAGUUUUGCUUGGUCUUUCAAGCAUAGAUAAACACUGAGGUUUUCUCAUUUUCAAAAUUAUUAGUUCUUUGAGACUAUCAUCAGUGAACUUUGAUCCCCAACCACCUCCUAACUUUCCAAUUUUGUAUCUUCUUGUUUUAAAAUUCAAUAAUUCAUCAACUUGUUUGUGCUCUCCAUGUAAUUCUGGGUGUGGGGCUGUAUACUGCAGUAUGAUUGACCCAAUAGGAGUUAGAAUGUUAAGGAAAAACUGACUCUCCUUUCCCAGGAGCCAUUAACUGUCCGUAGCUUUUCAAGAACCUCUUGGGGUUCGUGAACUUCUUGUACUCAAUGAUACAGUGUUGACUGGCUUGAUCUUGUUUUGGCAAUCAUGCAACUGUCCUGUCAUGCCCAGAAGUUAGUUUGUUCCAGUUGUCUCCUAUCUCUGGCUCUUAUAGUCCCCCCCCCUUUUAUAAUGGUCCUGGGCCUGUGGGAGGGGAUGGUUUUCUCAUUUUCAUCUUCACUGACUGCUUCUGGCUUGUUUGGGAUUCUUCUUGCAGAAUUGCCCGUUUAUAACCUUUGCUUGGCAUUUCAAAGGAACUUUUAAUUCAUUAGAGAUAAUAACCUUGUGUUACAUGAAGCAUAAAUAACUUUCUUAGUCUAUGUUUGGCUUUUUAACACUGCGUUGCUUUAUCAUAAAGACUGUCUUGUUUUUUUUACAGUGAUACAUUUACUUUAUGGAAUGGGUUUCCCACAUCUACUACAGCAGUCUUUUACAUUUAUUUCCAAUAUAAACAUACAAAUGUGGGCAUACAUCUGUAUGUGUGUAUAAAUUUUAACACAUUUAACAUUUAUGUGUAAUGCAAAGGAUGUUUAGCAGUCAUAAAAUGGAAAUUCAAGAACACUAUAUAUAGUCUUUUUAAAAAUCUGAAAUAGAACAUAAAACUAAAAAAAAAAAAAGUUAAGAAAACUUCAAAAUCUCCAGAACUUUAGAUUUGAAAGUGAAUUGAGAUGCAAUACCAAAAAUUUAAUCUAAAGUGGGGGAGGAGAAUCAACUUUAUUAUAAUUAGAAACAAAUGAGUUAUUCCUGCAACAAGUGCAUUUUGCUAAGUAGCAACAGAAGCAAGGAGAAACAGGCUUAUUGACUGUGAAAAUGCUGUGCUUUGUGAAGACAACGAGACAAAACACAGAUUUACUGCAUAUCACUUAAUGGAAUCAAGGACCUUGUGCCCAGAGUAUAUAAAGAAGAAUGACCAUAAUUUGACAACACUGAAGCAAACAACCCAUCUUAAAAAGUGGAUUACAAAUAAGCAUGUGAAAUUGUGCUCAGCCAAAGUCUAUGGUCUUUAUGGAAAUAUAAUAGUAAAGCUUCAGUGAGAUAACCCUGAAAAUUAUGAAGAUGGAUAAAGCAUUAAAUUAAAACCUUGUAACAGCAAGCACUCCAAGGAGGCAGAAUGACUGCAACCCUCAUGUGCCAGAGGUGGGAGUGCAAAGUGGCCCAACUGCUCUGAAGAACAAACUUCAUAGUCCUAUAAACACACAUAUGAUCUAUGACUCAGUGUAUGGGAUAUUUAAGUUCACAUAAAUCUGCACACAAAGAUAUACAGCUAUUUUACUUCUAGUUGCAGCAAACAAGUUUUAACCAAGAUGUCAACAGUUAAAUGAAUAAAGAAAUCAUGGUGUAUCUAUCUGUUCCACCUAUGCAGUGGAAUAUUGUCCAGCAAUCAACCAGAAUAUUGGAGGACCCUGGGACAGAUAAUAGACUAUGGUGAGUAGACUGUGUUGUGAAUACAUGAUAGAGCACUGAAAAGAGAAGGUGGGGUUUGGGGGAGUAGGAACUUGCUAAAGUUGCUUAAAAAAAAUAAUGUUUGGACUAAAGAAAAACUAAAAACUAGAGAAAAAAUACUGACAUAAACACAAUAUUCUUGUAGAUAAUUUUGUUUCAUACAGGGAUACUGUAUAUCAAGGAUUAUAUAAACCAGUAUCUAUACUAGAAAAUGGGAGCUAAGGACAAUGUAAGGAUAAUCAGAAACAAUAUAAACAGUAUAAACUCGAGGUAAGCUGCAUAAAGAUACAAACACCGAAACAUGGAUGUAUAUAGACUUUAGUUAUAGACAUACAUAUUUCCUAGUUCUACCUGCAGAAGAAAGGCUAUGUAAACAGUGACCCUUUUGUGGCAGAGAACACACUCAGUGCCCAGAUCAUAUUUUCUAACACUGUUAAUUCGCCAAUAAAAGCAAAUAUGGCUCUUUGGAAGAAUGGCCACUUCUGGGGCUAGCACAGGGAAACUACAAGAUGAACCUAAAAGGAAAUAAAUGGAAAGCAUGUCAAAAGGGCUCGUGUGCAAGCUGCUAAAGUAGAGAAAGUUCAGCAACAAAACAGUAAUCUCAGUUAUACAUCAGAAACACAGUUGCCAAGUCUGUCCUAUUUCUAAACAACUGAAAGCCAGAUGAAGGGCUUUCUAACAAAGUGAUCCCUGUAAGUGCAGAAGGAAUGAGUUAACCAGAAAUGCACCAUAGAAAUGCUUAAAGAUCCAUGGAUGGAGGCAGAAUUAGUAGGUGAAAUCUUAACCCCCCAGUGACAUUGAUUGAAUCCAGGGCUUUGUUCAUGCUAGACAAGCAUUCUGCCAUUAAGCUACAUCCUCAGUCCCAAAAUAAAUUUUAAUUGCUUUAGUGAUUUUAACACAUUCACAGAGUCUCUAAUACUCUUGCAAGAGAUAGAAUGAAAUUCCUUAUUCCCUGAAUGUUGGCUAGACCUGGUGACUUGCUUUUAAUAACUAGGUCUAAUAAAGGUGAAAUAGUAGGUCAAUUACAGUGAGCUAUUUAAUCAUGUAAAGUUGACACCAUGUUGAUGGAAGAAGAUGAGAAAAGCACCUUGCCUUAAUAACAUUUACAAAACCUGUAACCCUAUUCUAAUUUUGAGAAAAUUUUAUACAGACCUAGAGUAGCACUGACAUUUGAUAAGUAUUUAAAGCAUCAACUCCAGUGACAGUAUUGAGAUGCUGCUGUAGGUCACAGGACACUAAGGACCUGAUGAAAGAGUGUGAUGGUAGAUAUUGGACAGGCUCUUAGAGCAUGAAGUAGUUAAACUGGAAGAAGGACUAAACUGUAGCUCAACAGUGUUGUAUCAAAUUAAGCGUGAUUUAGUUUUCAUCAAAGUAACAUAGUUAUGUAAGGUACUGCCGUGAAAGGUACCUUGCAAGACUAUUUUUUCUUUUACAAGAAUAUGUAAUAUAUGCAAAUAAAACAUACAUAAAUUAAAAGGGAAAAGAAGCAGAAUAGUAGAAAAGAAUCUCUAGUGUAUAAAGAUAGAUUAAAAACUAUGAAGAAAAGUAUAAAACUUUAAACAGAGAUACCGGCAAACAGAAAACUGCCUUUAUUGCAUUGACAGAAACACUCAAAAAAAUCUUAAAAAAUCCUAAAUUUUAAUGAAAAUCCUAAUGUUUGUGGUGAAUACCCUAACAAGUGGAUUCUGAGAUAUAUUUGGAAGUGUAAAAGACCAGGAAAAAGUAAUAUUCUUUAAGAACAGGGUAGCUAAUAUGCUUAUCAAACACAAGUACUUCAACUUAGUAGUCAUUAAUACAGUGUGGAACUGAUUCAAGGAGAGACUUAACUGGCUAGUGGGAUAGAACUGGAUGUCAGAAAAUAGGCCUACACAUGGACACGUGCAAUGUAUUAAAGGUCUAUUUAUCAUGAGAUGGCCUUCAAGGACAAGGAAAUUCACACGGGGAAAACACUGAACUGGGCCCUUAAUUUUCUCACAGCAUACAUUGAAAACUCAUUCUUGGCAUUUCAGGGCUUAUGACAAGUAGAACUAGAAGGACCAUAGGCCUGGAUAUAGAAGAAUGUCUACAUUGCUUUGGGGUAGGAUAACUAAGAAGCAAUAAUCAAAAAGAAAAAUAGCAAUUUGGCUACAUUCAGAGUCAAAACCUAAAUAUCUAAAUACAUUUUAAAUAGUAAAAAGGGAUUCAAAAAUAAUAAAACACAUAAAAAGUUAGGUAAAUCAGUAAGGAAAAAAUAGAUAAGCCUGGUGGUGCAGGUCUGUAAUCGUAGCUACUUAGGAAGCUGAGGAAGGAGAAAUGUUAUGUUCAGGACCUUGUGUGGACAACAGUGAGUCAGGAUAACUCUCAAAGAGCAGAAUGAGAGCUAGAGAUGGAGAGAUGGCUCAGUGGUAAAGUGUCUUCCUACUAGGUAUAAGAUCUUAGGUUUAAGUCUCUAGCACUGAAAAAAAAUUACCUAAUCGAAAAAUAAGCAAGACACCCUACACCCAUCCCCCUCAAAAUGAGACAAGAAUUCAAAAGCCUGAUGAGCUUAUGGAAAGGUGUUGUGCCUGACUAGCAAUCAAGGAAAUAUAAAUAAACUCAGGAGCUCAUGGCCCAUGGGACCAGCAGCAGACUUCCAGCAGGAAACUAUACAGACAUUACUUAGUCAUAGCUGGAAGAAGGGCUCAAGUAAAGGGCUCUGUGCCUGUGACAUCCUCAGAGAGACCAGGGAAAGACCUGUAAACCUUGAGGAAUGUGUGCACAUGAAGAGGCCCACAGGUCUGGGACAUAGUGGGAGUAUGUUACUGUUCCCAUUCUAGAGACUCAGGGCUGAGAUUCAAGUGUACUGGGUUAUAUUAUACACUUGUCAAGUCACAGCUAAAACUUCAUCCAGGAUUCAAAUGUUCUUUUGGAAAAGAAAAAAGAAAAAGAACACAAAUACAUAUUUCAGUGCUUGCAUCACUUGUAUACACAAGAAAGAAGCAGCAAAGAUGUAACUGGAAGAGGGGGCUGUGUUCCACACACCCAGAAUGACAAGUGCCAUCUCCAAGCCUGAGGGCCCAGGGUGAGCCCCUCAACUCCUGAGAAAGGCUCUGUCCUGGUAUUAGGAAAUUAAAAUGUGCACAUCAGUUGGCUGUCCACAGCGGGCGGGGCCUGCACCUGCCAGAGAGGAAUGUGGACUCUUUGGUUUAAUCCUGGGAAGGGUUCAUGGGGCCCCUGCAGUGAGGGUCAGAGAGAGGCUCAGCACAGUUGUUUUUCCAAGUCAAAAGGAGAGACUGUUGUCUGCUAGGCAUGUUUCAGAGACUUUAGGGGUGCUUCUCUUUCAUGGGAGAAACACUAUUCAGGACUGCCACCCGCUUUACAUUUGGAUCUGUACUCAUAGUCAGGUCAGACAUCUCAAAGAUUCUGGAAGGGAGUUGAGAGGGCAGGGUUUCAACUUUUACACACUGGUGGUGCUCCUCUUAGGCAAGAGCUUGGGGCAAGUUCUGUGUUCUAAGAAGCCCCAUUGGGCAACUCCAUCUCUGAAGAGCCCAGAGUUUGUCUUUCAUAAAGAUAUGAAAAGAUAGCCCAACUACAGAAGAAACUAUGAGACCAUGGUGAAUGUGACAAGGGUCAUAUGACCAUUUAGACCCUGUGUAGAGGAUACUAGAGCAAUGACAGGUGUUCUCUGCUGANCCAGCCAGUGUCAGUGUACCUGGUCCUGGAGGAAAAGUACUGUUUCCUAGUGACAGUGAAGUCACAUUUUCCUAAAACGAUCCCAGUUUUUGAUGCUUUCAUUCCUUGGCUGCUUCUGUCUUGUCAGAGCCAGAAUCUGGACCUAAGUGUGCAGGGCAGAACAAAACAAUUUUGUUUUCUAGGAAAAUGGGAGGUCUGGAAUGGCGAAUGUAGCCUCAGGCGUGGCAACUGCCCCAGCUGGGGCUACCCACUGCCAAGUUUCACCCUGUCUCAAGAGAACCAAAACCAGACUGUAUGCAGCAUCUUCCUUCUCAGCCAAAGGGCCUACUCAUUAGGGUGAUUUGCAUUUUACUUAAGCAUUGAAAAAAAAAAAAGACUGGAAGGAAAUAGAUCAAAAUGUGAUAUGUUUACUGUGGAUUAAAGGACUUCAAAUGAUUUUCAUUUCCUUCCUUAUAAGUAUUUUCUAUUUGAAUAAAUGAUACAUUUAGAAGUCAAAAAAAUUAGUUCAUACAGGCUUCCUGUAUUUGCCUUGCCCUCAUCAUCCUGAGGUUAGCACAAUGUAUCUAAGUGUCCUUACUCAGCCACCUCCUCCAGUCUAUCCUUAAGAUGCCCAAGAGACCCAGUGACACAGAGCCCUUUCUUCCCAAGCUCUCCAAGACCUUCCCUUUCCUAGCUCCAUUACUCCUGCAUUGAGCUCCCAGACUUUCCCUCUGCACACCUGAUCAUCAUUUGAGCAUUCCAAGUUCAACUCUCUGCAAGGCCCCAGGCCACCCUGUUGUCCACUGCCCUCUGCUGAGACUUGCUGGUGUCAGUAACUUCACCCAGCUGCUCACCCCUGCCCUCCCCCUCUUAACUGAUUAUAAUCCUGCCUGAUCUCCCAGAUGUAACCUAAACCACCUUCCCUCCAUAAGCUCCCCAAGGCUCUAGAGAUUGCCCCCUCAAUUGCUAUGGGGCUUAUGUGUGCCUGGCCCUCAGCACAGGAACCUUGCUUCCUCUCCCAUGUCAUCUCCGGUGCGUGGCACAGGCAAGUCCCCUGAGCCAGCUCACUCCGAUGGAAUAAACAAGCUGCCUAUGUAUGUCCUCCCCUAGUAGAGGCCCUUUCCCUAUCCCCCCCUCAAUCAAUUUCCCCGUCUUGGUGGAUUUGCCAAAGCCCUGUGGAUCCUGCACCAUGAAGGAAAAAACCCUCCCUAGGGUAUCUGGACAGCUGCAGCAAGGUCCUGCGUGACAUUGCUGAGCUGCAGCCCCACAGCCUGUGCCAGCAGCCCAUGCCCUGUUCACAGACCCUGAGCCAGACCAGACCCACCACCACCUGUGUCUUCACUCAGAGGGGAGAAGUAAGAGACAAGGACAGAAAGUGUAAAAGCCAUUCCCACAACAGCUGCCAGGAACAAGGCGAGAGUGCAGUGUAAAUGUAUAUUCACAGCUGGUACCCAGUUCCGCUUAGGAAAAUACCUUGAGUGGACACCUGUUGUUUUUGCGAACUCUGCAACCAGGACUGGCUUCUGGAACUAGUUCACCGAAUCUUUCUUAGAGGGGUCCUCAUUUCCUACUCCCCAGUGUGUAAGAUUUAGGAAUUCAUUGGCUACUUCCAAAGGGGGCUUUGUGGCUGGAUCACAACUUCAGAAACAGUUGCACUUAUAAAGAUGGCUUGUACUUUGGUUGUGAGCAUUAAGAGCCUAGCUUGAGCCUGUGGCAGAAAUCACUUGGAAAAAGUCUGGCAUCUUCUCCUGGUACAUGUAAACUAGUGGACAUCUUACAUUUAUUGCAAAGUGAGUGCUUUAGGACACAGAUGAGUAGCUAUGCAUGUAUCUAUAGGCAGAGAGAGGGAAAGAGCACAAAAGGGACAGGGUAGAAGGGGAAGGAGAGAAAGCAUCACCAGACUAGCUCCAGCUGUGUCUGGAACAGCCAGGUUCAGAUUCAUAAACUAGAAAAAUGUCCUAUUUGUCCUUAUCUAGAUUGAAAUGGGCUCUGCAGUCUGUUACCAAGAGCACUUAGGAGUAUAAAAAGCUAGGGGUAAGAUAUGAGCCUGAGGAGAUAGGUCUGGGGGUUAAGUCUAGGUUGCAAAACACAGCAAACAAAACAACAACAAACACCCUAAGACACUCUCGUUAAGCUUUGCAGGAUAGAAGACAGGAAAGGUUAGCUAGAAAAAUCUGGCCCAAGGCCCCAGCUUCAGCUCUAUAUUGGCCAGGAAACUCUGGAAAAGGUGCUUCAUACAGCUGUCCACUGACUUUCUACUGUUAUAAGCAAACUUCUCUUUAGAGAGCUUCUUUCUCUACCCUGUGUUUGCAGCACUUUAUGGAACAUGCUCUAUUUUGUGUUCAAGCAAAGACGGAAGGAUACAUUUAACUUUAGAUGGACAGUGACAUGACAGUUGAAGAUGACCUAUGGAAUCCCAAGAGUUCCUAGGAACAAUGCUAGGCUUUGUGCAACUACAGAGUUCAUAGUGCCGGAGACUUUUCACUGAAUGCCUUUUCUCAUAAUGGAGACGACAGGCCUAACACAUAAAUCUCAGAGUAAAUGGAAAUGGUUCUGUGGGCCCAAGGGUGGGGUCUGAAUAGUAAGGUGCUAAAGAGGGCAGGCAAUGACAGAGCCCUACGUAAGCCCAGGAAGCAGAGCGUGAGUAGUACAACUGCCUGCAGAACAAAAUCAGUCCACCCAGCUUUCCAUGCUGCAAGAAGUCACUGUCCAGGUCGCCCAAGACACAUUUGGAAGGGAAGGUUCCAGUCAGCAAGAGCGGCCCCAGGAAACUUUAAUAUACAAUGGAAUCUGGGUUAAGCACUAUCUUCUCCAAAAGUUGAGCUCACAGGACAUUCCCCAGAAACCUCUGGAGAGGUGGGGAGGAAAGUUUCUGGAGGUCUUUGGACGAAGAAAACAAAAAAAGUGGCCUUGAUUUUUCAAGGAGAAAUUACACAGGAAGAAAAAAAUGUUUUUAAUCUAAUUAAGAGCGAUCUUUUCACCUUCAUCACAACAUCACGGAAAUGUGCCAGUUCUUAACUUCACACAAUAAUCAAAGCAAUUAAGGAGAAGCCUUGGAAACUGGUGCAGAUGUUCUCAGAAUGUUUAAUGGGGAAAUGAGUUGCAGGCCUCAUUCUCAGCAUCCGGCUCCAGGCCCUGGCUACCAAAUCCAGACAUCUGCUGGGGCCCCACUCCCAGGCCUGGAGGGUGUGUGCUUGAGAAACACAGGUCUCUUCCCAGGCUGCCUCUAGUGAGGCCAGAUCUGGGGCCCCAGAGGCUCCCCAUGGUUCCUCAAGCCAGAGCCUGGACAUAGUCAGAAUCACCCCAGAGCUAGGGAGAAGCUUAAUGUCAAAAUUAUGUUAACAACUGAUGUCAAAAGUAAUCAACUCAAACUGGCUCCCUCACCCCUGCUGGCUGCAGGAGGACUAUGAGUAGAGGAAGGGAGGGCAAAGAGCCCCUGGCAAGGGCUGGGAGAGACUCUCUCUUCUUUGACCUCCUCAGCAUGAACAUCACAUAAAGGUGUGGCAGCAUUGGUGCAGUCUGACUCUGUGUGCCUUGGUUCAGUGUUACCAAGCUAGACCCGAGAAGCAAACUAGUCCAUUUUUGAGUAAUUUUCAAAAAUCAGAAACCAUGUAGAAAGGAGGGUGCUGCUCACUUAGUAACUAGCCUGUUUUAGAGAGCAGAAGGGCAUAUGACUAAAGUUAAAUGGCUUGAAAGUGAAGACCUUGAUGUACGGUUCAGGCAGCUCAUUAAACCACACUGGAAGCCCUGCUAUAUGGUACACACAAAGAACAUGGAAGAAAAGAAAACAUCCCUGGUUUUGAGGACACAUAGGCAGUAUGGGUCCUCACACAUGUACAAUGUUUAGCAUUCAUAUUGUCUUCAUAGCAAAGGCUUCUUAAUAAAAAAAAAAAAAAUACCAGGAGUGUUGUAAGCUGAAUUCCAGCUGUUGACUUACUAGACCACUUUCUUGGGAAGUGGCUGGCACAAGUUUCUUGUUAUUCUCUGUCCAUGAAUCUAGCCCAAGAAAAUGUGAUAGGAAGGGAUUAAAGCAUUUAAGAAUGAAAGUAGCAUGAUGCACUUUUUAUCAAAAGAAAUUUUGGGACUGCUAUGUAUAGAAUGUAGCAAAGGAAAGCCAGGGAGACUUGGGAGGCCAGUGAAGAGUGAAAGGGACAUCAAAACAAACAAACAGACAAAUCCCUAAACAUGGUGGCAUUAGCAGGUGGCAUUAGAAGCUAUAGAGACGAGGAGUGGGAAAGUCUAUAUGUGAAAAAGCAUAAUUUUAAAGAUUUCCAGGAAUGUUUGGAGAAUAACAACAUUCUACUCCCCCCUCCUAUCCCCACCCCCACCCCCAGACUUCAAAUCUCCUCACUUAUUCUAAAAAUCAGGACAAGCAAUUCAACAAAAGUAAGAGCAAAAUAUAUGAUCUAUUCCUUCAACAGUAGCCAAAUUCAUAGAAAUUACCCAUGAGAGGAGAGUCUGCCCACCAUUGUAUACCUGUGAAUGCAAAAGGUCAGAAGAGGCCUAGGAUGCUCUGUCAAAACAGUGAGGAUGCUAAGUAGUGUCAACAAAAAUAAGGUUCCCCUUUCCACAGAAAUAUUUUUAUAAGAACUCAGAAUUAAUGUCAGUGAUUAGUUCUGGGAAGCAGUCAGUAAUUCACAGCAACCAAAUGAACAUCACAAAAAGAAACAGCCAAUUAAAAAGGGUUAGGGGCCCAGCAAGAUGAUUCAGUGGAUAAAGGUGCUUGCUGCCAAGACUAACAACUUUAAUUCAACCACUGGAAAAAACCCAUUUGGUAGAGGAAAGAACAAGUUUCUGCAAAAAUUACAGGAACUUGUGACAUUUUCAUUUGUCCUUGAAUACUCACCUUCCCUCUACUCAGCCUGGUUUGGUGGCACUGUUGAAGAUGAUAAAUAGUAUGGACCCUGGUCCUUGUUUCUGAAGGGUGCAGUACAGACCUUGUUUAAAAUAAUUAUUUUUGUUUUAUAUUGUUUGUGGGUAGCCUGAAAGACUGACUUAAGGUGUUUUCAUUCCCCCCAAUACUAAUUGUGAAUUUUUUCAGUGUGAAAAAUAGUGGACAAUACUUGCAAACACUGUAAGACCUUCAGAGCAGUUACAAUGACUUGAGCAAAGAUCAGUGGUUGAAGCACACAGCAGCCCACUGAAAAGCCUCAGAAGGCAAUCUAGAGAGUGCUUCUUUGGCAUUUUAGAGCAUUUAAAAUAAUAGUAUGUGCUAAUACCUUACAAAACAUGCACAGAGCUAAAUGCUAAGAAGAGCCCUGACAAUACUACAAACCAGUAUCUGUGAUAGAUUUCUAUGCUUACCUCAAGCUACAAGUGAAAGCAAAGACAAGAUUGUUAAUAGUCUGUCCAAAUUUUGAAGAAAAUUCCAGUUCAGUUAACUUGCAAAAGCUGGAAGAAUCCUGCCCUCCUCUUAUACCUCUCUGUCAUAAUGAACUGAACAUAAAUGAAAGGAACAGAACUUGAAAGACCACACAUAACUUCACACAAAAAAAAUAGCUUAGGAAUAAAAAAGUAGCUUAAAACCACUUAAAUAGCAUUAAAAAAAUUUGGAGGCAGAAAAGAAUCUAAUGUCCACAGUUAUACAAAAUUGAAAAUAUACAGCUUUAAACAAAAUAUGGAAUAUAUAGAGAAACAAUAACAAAGUUCCUUCCCACAGAAGGCUGAAAGAAUCAUAGACUCACUGGACUUAACUUGACAAAAAAAAAAAUAAUUUUAAAUUAGGCUAGGAAUGUUUCAGCUGGUAAAGGGUCUGGCUGCUUAAGCCUGGUGACCUAAGUUUGAGCUCCAGAUCCCACAUAAAGGUAUAAGGAGAGAACUACAUAAAAUUGGCCCCUAACCUAGAAAUGGACACCAUGGCAUAUACAGUAAUCUCAGUAAUAAUAAAAUAAAAAUUAGUCUAAAUUAUGCUGAAAGAUAAGAAAAAUCCAUUAGAGGGUUUCAUCAGCAGAUCUGAAUGGAUAUAAGAAUCAGUGGACUUAAGGAUCAAGUCUGAGCAUCAGGGGAAAAAGAAAUGAGCAUUUCAAGAAUUCUAUGGUAAACUACCAAGCAUGCUAAUAUCUAUGUUGGAAAUCCCAAAAAGUAGGUGAAAGAAGGAGCAGGAAGAAUUGACAUAGUUGCCAUGAGCUCCCCAAUUUGAUUAAAGACAAAAAUUACUAUGUCCAGGAACAUAAGCAAAAGGACCCAGAAAUAACGAAGAGUCACAGAAAAAUACACUAUCAAUUAUUGAAAGGCAGAACAGACUUUAAAAAGAAAAAAAGAGACUUUGCUUGUCAUAUAGUGAUUCUCAAUAUAAUUAAUGUGUUUGUUAUCAGCAAGUGUGGAGUUCAAAGAGAAUGGAAUAGCAUUUUUAAGUACUGAGAGAAAAAAGUCUGUCAACCAACAACUUUAUAUCCAGCAAAAUUAUUCAAAAAUGGAGAAAUAAUGAAUGAGCUUAGGACCUUCUCAAAUGAAUAAAUAAAUCCAUCUAGCAUAUAUGUCAUAUGUUUUGGGGCAUAUUCAUGCAAUAGAUACAAACUUUGAAACCAUGUGGAACUGAAGGGGAUAGAGCUGGGUAGGAUCUUGAAUUAAUGUGUGAAAGCUGGAAGAAUCCCCCCUCUCCUCCUUUUUACCUGUCAUAAUGAACUGAACCUUAAUGAACUAAAUCUAAAUGAAAGGAACACUAUUGAAACUAUGCUAUUCUAGUCAAUCUAGAAUUUUGUUAAGUGUAAUUCUCAUCAAAAUUAUUCAGAAAACAUCUGGAAAAUCUAUACAUUCAACAUGUAAAAAGCUUAGAAAUUACAGUCUCAACAAGUAAAAUGGUGAAUUGACGGAAAAGUCAAUUCCAUUUUUGUAUCAGAAAUGAAAAGAGUAAAAAAAAAAAACAAAAAACAAAAAAAACCCAAUGCCUACAAAAUGAGGGAGGGGGGUGAUGGGAGAUUGAAGGAGAGAGACAGGUAGACAUGGAGAAUCAGAACAUAUUAUAAUAGACCUUGCUGGAAUCAGCUUGGCUAGAAAAACCUAAUUUAUGAUUUAACUGCUGGAGUUUAGAUGUAGAUAGAUGUAAGAACUAAAAAGUCAAAGGCACUAAGUUUUGGGAAGAGCCUUAAAGUUUUCAUGAAUUACUUCCUCCAGGAGCUUGAUCAGAUUCUCACUGCUAGCAAUAGAGAAAAAUUCCCUUGAAUCUUUCAAUAUUGGGAGGGAGAAAAGCCAUUUUGAAAGCAAACAAUAGUGUUUUUCUCCAAGGGUUUACCUUCAGGGAAAGUUAGUUUACUUGGUCCUAAACAGCUAGGGUUUAUCACAACCUAACUGACCUAAAGCAAUUCAAAUUAACUCUAGAUUUCGUGUGGAGUAGAGAUAUCCAAACACCAGACCAGUUCACUUUAGCCAUUGAAGAAUAGUGACAUUCAGUCAAGAGGCUUAGACUCAGUAAAAGUGAGACCUAAACACAGGACUAUAGAAUGUUUCUUAUAUACUAAACCUUUCCGUAUUGUUAGUAAUGACCAUUCAAUAGAAGUUUCUUUUGUUUGAUACAUCAUAUCCACUGUCCACUUACUGGAAAAAAAAAAUACAAGGCAUCUAAAAGACAUUAGAUUUUUAAAACAUAGGCAUUUCAGAUAUGUUGAAAUUAUCACAAGAUAUUUGAACUAUGAAACUAAGGAUGACAUCCAAGGACAAUAGCAAGGAAGGGACCAAAGUCAUAGGGAAAACACAAAAAGUGCUGGGAACCAGCAAUAUCAAUGUAUGAAAAAUACCCUCUGUAGACUCAUUUGAUUGCAUACAGAUGAGAAAAAAAUCAGAGUAUCUUUUUGUACAAACAACCAAAACUAAAAGACAAAAAUGAACAAAACAUCGAGAAUUUGGCUGAGUUGGUUAAGUGCUUGUCUUGUAUACAUAGGACCUGAGUUUGGUUCCUAGUAAUUAAGUAAAAAAGUUAUCUAGUUAUCUCCAUUCCUGGGGCAGCAUUAGAAGACAUGUCAAUCCCCCAAAAUACUAGAAAUAGUCAUAUAGAAGCCAAAAACAAAAAUAAAAAGAAAGCAAAACAAAAAUAAAAAAAAGAAACCAUUUGAAAGAACAGGAACUAAAAAUUUCCCCUAAAUUAUUACCAUAAUUAAACAGCCCAGGAAGCUGAGAGAACAUAAAACAGGAUUAAUAACAAAACCUGCAUCUAAACAUAUCAUUAUCUACAGAAAACAAAUAUUUAAAAAGCCCUACAGGAACACCUAAUAUAAAAUAACAAUAAUACAAACUACAUUCAAUCUCCUCAGAAACUAUAUAAGCAGGAAGAGUGAAAUAACAGAGCAAAAGAAUUGCUAUAUAUCAUUCUGCACUCUGGAAUUGUCUUAAAAUUGGACUAAUAGGUAAGAUUUCAUUCAAAACAUCCAAAAAUGUGUUUAAUUAUGUUUAUGUAUACUUAAAUGAAAUGAAUGGCACCAAUGAUUUAUGGGGGAGUUAGUGAUUACUUUAGGUCAUACAAUGUAUGAAUUGGUAUAGUAUUAUUUGAAAGAGGGCUUAGAUUAGUUUAAAAUGUAUACAAGAUCCAGAGAAAUCACCCCAAAAUAAUGCUAGUAAACUUUUCAGAAAACAGUAUCACAAAUAUAUAGCAAAACAAGUUUGUAGUCACAGGUUGUAUUUUAGUAGUCUUAUGGGUCCAUUGUACCAGAAUCCCACAUACAAUCUCAUGUUUACAGUAGAUUUUUAGAUUGGAAAAUCUGUUUUACAUAGUCAUUGUUAUUUAAUAAGUAUCUUCACCCCAUUUUGUGGCUAUGCUAGUAGAGGAAAGUGAAUUGCUACUGAGCUAUAUCUCAAGACUCUAUCACACCUUUCUAACUGCACAAGCUCUAAUGCCAUCACACCUAAAAGAAGGUCUGAGUAAAAUACAAUAUAGUUCUUUACUCAUAGGUAUUACCUAAGAGACUUAAAGCUGUUUUUGAGCAGGCUAAAACCAACCAACCACCACUACCACAACAAAAGAUAUCUGCUAACAAGCUAUCAGAUAUGAUAUAUCUAGUAUUCCUGUUGUUGCCGUUGAUAGAAAAACAUAUCCCUCCCGGAACAUGGGAAAUAUGACAAACAAACUAGGGUAGGAUAAGGGAGAGUUGCUGUAUUUUCUCUCGUUUGAGAGAGAUAGUUAUUUGUCAAAAAAACCAACAUAAUACUAGAUAGAAACAUACCUCUGAGGAAUUAUAACUUUGGUAAAGAGAAAAUUGGAAUAGGAAGGUGUGUUGACUUUCUGCAGCACAACUCUGUCUAGGGGAAAUGCCUGUUUGUCUCACCUGGCUUCUUGUAAAAGUAUGGCAGAGAAUAUGGCCCAUUAUAAUCUGAUUUCAAAGUUCCUAUCAAAGUAAGAUCUGCUUAUUCUCUAUAACCCUGAGGAUGAAGCUAUUUCAGAUAAAGAUGAGCAAAGGGUUACUAUGCUUUGAAGAAAAAUUACAGUAUUCAAAGAGAUCUUUAAGCCCAGCCAUUGGAUUUACUAGACACAUACUUAAAGCAAUUAUUUCAAAGAGUUAAAUAUAUUGGUAAACAUAAUAAAAAUAUAAGCUACUGAGUAGGAUAAAACAUUUUAAAAAUAUUUAAGGAGUUUCCCAAAACCUAAUAGAGCUGGUAAUGUAGCCUCAGGACAAUAGGGCAGUUGUCUAGCAUGAACAAAACGUAAAAUUCUAUUCUCAUAAAUUGAAAAAAAAUGUGUAUGACUGAAUUUUGCUUUCUGAUUUGAAAAACACCCGAACAAUAUGAAGUUAAAUGAAUCGCAACUUUACUAAUAUGCAUCAGUUUUGCAGGAGAAACACCUUCAUUUAACAUGGAUGUUAAGGACCCACAUCUUCAAUCCAAUCUCUAGAAGCACAAUGUUGAUGAAAAAAAGCCAGGCUUCCAAAGAACAUCAUUCCAUGUCUGAGUCAGUUUAGUAAAAUCUAUAAAACUGGCCAAUGCAAAAAGAGCUCUAUUGUGAAGGAUAAAAAGACAAUGAAGAACAAGCAAUGGUAAGAUUAUGUUAGAUCAUCAAUUUGAGUACAUUGAUGAGAACUUCAAAACUAAGAAUGUGCAGUGAGGGGUUGGUAUCUUUUUGCCAUAUUCUCAAAUGAAAAAGCUUUUAAAAAUGAAACAUUUUAGUUUAAACAUCUUAUUCCUUGAGGAUCUAAAAGAUUCUAAGGUGUCAAGAUUCACUGAAACAAAAAAGAUGGUAAUCACAAGGAAAUGUCUUAUGUAAGAGGUUAACAUACAAGGUCCUCUCAGUUAUCACAAUGGCAGGAUUUAUGAAAAGAUGGGCAGGAUGAUAAACUUGUUUUCCUGAUACUUUCUUUUCUAGACUUAACAGGCAUAUGAGGAAGAAUGGUACACUGAGGCUAGGUAUAAGAAGAUAAUAGGCAACCUAAACAGAAAGCACCAUGCUUGGAUGGAUUUACUGAUAAAUUCUGACAAAUUUCAACUAUUUAAUGGAAGAAUGUAUACUAAUGUUUCUAUAGUAUCUUUUAGAAGUUAGGAAAUAUUGCUUAACUCAUUUGUUGAGACCAAUAUUGCCAUAAUUUCUUUAGCAAACAACACAUUCCAAACAAGCUAAACACCAGUAACUCAUGCUGUAUGUGUAAAACAAUAUACUAUGCAACAUUAAUAUGCCAAAUCCAAAAAUAUCACAACUGCUCAGUGCUGUGGGACACUAAAAACUAAGGUAAGUUAUCACAAGCAUAUAAGAAGUCACAUGAUUAUGUCGCCAGACAGAAAUAUACAUAAACUUGACCAGCUCAUGGUAAAAACAACCCUGGAACAUUAAGCCUCAGGUAAGUAAUCAUAAGAAGUAAAAAGAACUUUUAUGAUUAUAUCACUGGUUACAAGUGAAUCUGACAAAAUUCUUUACUAACACAUGAUUUAGAAAGCACCCUUGGAACAUUAAAAAAUCAGGUAAGUAACCACAAGAAGGAAAAAUGUUACAUGACAUGAUAAUAUUUCUGGAUACAAUAAUUCAUCUAACAAAAUUCUUUACUAACUCAUGAUGUUUAAAAAGCCCUUUGGAACAUUGAAAAAUUCAGGUAAGUAAUCACAAGAAGCAAAAAGAAGUUACAUGAUUAUAUUAUUGAAAUGCAUCUGGAAAAAAUUCUAUAUCAAUUUAAAAAAGCCCUCUAGCUGGUGAAAAUCUUAGGUAAAUAAACACAAGAAGCAAAAAGAUGUUACAUGAUUAUAUCACUAGACAAAAAAUUUGACAACAUUCUUUACCUACUCAUGAUCAAAACAAAACAACCAAGAGCAUUAAAAUCUCAAGUAAGUAAUAAGAAGCCAAAAGAAGUUACAUGAUUAUUCACUGGAUACAAUUAUCAACUCAUUAUAAAAGAAACAACAACAAUAACUCUGCACAUUAAAAAUUCAGGUUAGUGAUCAAAAGACCCAAGAACCUCUGACAACAUUAUUCACUAACUCAUGAUUAAAACAAAACAAGAAAACUUCUGGCACAUUAAAUACUCAAGUAAGUGAUCACAAGAAGCAAAAAUAUCACUGGAUACAAAAGUGCAUCUGAGAAUAUUCUUUAUCAACUUGUGAUUUAAAAUAAAAAGAAAAAGCCAAACAACUCAUUAAAAACUCAGGUAAGUGAUCAUAAGACACAAGCAAGAAAGAAGUUACAGAAAUCUGACAACAUUCUUUACCAACUCAUAAUACAAAACAAAAAAUAAACACACACAAAACCCUCUAGAAUAUUAAAAACUUAGGUAACUGAUCACAAGACCCAUGAAGCAAAAAAGAUAUUACAUGAUUAUUUCACUACACACAGAAACCUGACAACAUUCUUUACCAACUCAUAAUACAGAAACAAAACAAGCAUACAUAAAACAUCUGGAACAUCAAAAACUCAGGUACAUGAUCACAGGAAGCAAAAAAAGUUACAUGAUUAUAUCACUGGACACAAAAAUGCCUCUAAAAAAAUUUCCUAUCAACUCAAGAUGAAAGAAAAGAAAAAUCUAACAACUCUGGAACAUUAAAAACUCAGGUACAUGAUCACAAGACACAAGAAGCAAAAAAAAUUACAUGAUUUCACUGACACAAAAAUGCAUCUAACACAAUUCCUUAUCAACUCAAGAUGAAAGACAAGAAAAACCCAACAACUCUGAAACAUUAAAAACUCAGGUAAGUGAUCACAAGACAGACCACAAGACACACACGAAGUUACAUGAUUAUUUCAGUAGACACAGAAACCUGACAACAUUCUUUACCAAAUCAUAAUAAAAAAACAAACAAACACAGAAACCCUCUGGAGCAUUAAAAACUAAGGUAAAUAAUCAAAACACACAAAAAAACAAAAGUUACAUAAUUGUUUUACUAGACACAGAAACAUGAUAACAUUCUUUACCAACUCAUAAUACAAAACAAAAUAAACACAACCUCUAGAAUAUUAAAAAACACAUGUAAGUGAUCACAAGAAGCUUAAAGAAGUUACUUGAUUAUAUCAUUGGACACAUGCAUGCGUCUGAUGAUUUCUUUAUCAACUCAUGAUUUUAAAAAGGAAGAAAAGAAAACUCAACAACUCUGGAACAUUAAAAACAAAAAGUUACAUGAUUAUUUUACUAGACACAGAAAUCUGACAUUUACCAACUCAAUACAAAACAAAAGCAAUGGCUAGAAAGAUGGUUCAUCAGUUAAGAGCACUGACUGCUGAGGUCCUGAGUUCAAUUCCCAGCAACCACACAGUAAUAUAACAAUCUGUAAUCCGACGGUCUCUCCUGAUGUGUCUGAAGAGAGCAACAGUAUACUGAUAAAAAUGAAAUAAAUCUUUUUUUUUUUUUAAAAAAAGCAAAACACACAGAAACCCUCUAGAAGCUUAAAAAGGUAAGUGAUCACAAGAUACAAAUAGGCAAAAUGAAGUUACAUGAUUAUUUCACUAGACACAAGCCUGACAAUAUUAUAAACUAACAAAAUAGAAACAAAACUCUGGAACAUUAAAAAACUGAGGUAUUUAUCACAAGAAGCAAAAAGAAGUUACAUAAUUAUUAACUAGACACAAACAUGCAUCUGACAAUUUUUUUUAUCAACUCAUGAUUUAAAAGAAAACCCAAGAACAUUGGAACAUCAAAAACUUAGAUAAGUGAUCACAAGACACAAGAAGAGUUACAUGAUUAUUUCACUAGACACAGAAAUCUAACAUUCUUUACCAUCCCAUAAUAUAAAACAGAAACAAAAAGACAACACAAACCCUUAGAACUGUUCUAAGUGAUCAGAAGACACAAAAAGCAGAAAUGAAAUUACAUGAUUAUUUCACUACACACAGAAACAUGACAAUAUUCUUUACCAACUCAUAAUAAAAAGCAAAACAAGCAGACAUAAAAUAUUUGGAAUAUUAAAAGCUCAGGUAAGGGAUCAGAAGAAGCAAAAAGAAGUUACACGAUUAUAUCACUGGACACAAAAGUACAUCUGACCAAAUUCCCUAUCCAAAAGAAAAAAAAAAUCACUAAACACUGUAAGAAUGUCAUUAACUUUGUAAAUAAUAUUUGCCAAAAGUAUAUACCAAACAUAAUUGAUAGGGAAAAAAGGGGGGGCAAGGAUGGGGCCCACUCAUUUUUCAAAAAUCUUAUGGAAAAAUCCUAAGUAAUGGACCAAAAUAAGGGGAAUAUAUAUUUUGUUUAAAAGGAGCUAAAGUUUUGCUUUUAGGUGGCAUUAUUGAUAUAGAUAACAUGAAAGAACAAAUAUACAAAUUCUACAACUAUUAAGUGACCAGAGCAAGGUUACAUGACUCAAAAUAUACAAUAAUCAGUUACUUUAUGCCAAAAGUUAAUGAGUGGAAUUUGGAACAAAGUACAUUAUUGCACUGGCAUCAAUCCAAACAGAUAAAAAUAUGUACAAUUUAUUUUCAAUAUUCAAUAUAUUGAAAAAUUCAAUGUUGCCAGAUGUCCAGUAACCCAUGCUGAUCCCCACAUUAAAUGCAACCUUAAGCAAACACAAAUGUCUUAUCAGAAUUAGAAAAUGGACUCUAAUGCUUCUAUGGAAGAAAAAGAUGGAAUAUGAAACAAUAUUAAAGGAUAAUUUAAAUUUAACCCAUUUUAAUGCAUUGCUGUAAAGCUUCAGGGGUCCAGAAACUAUAUUACUUAUUUAAAAAUAGGUAAGUAAAGAAGAAAUGAAAAGAAAAUACCAUGUCAAAAUAGAAUCUUCUAAGUUCACUCAACUAAUCUGUUGUAAGGGAACAAAAUUAAGAAUGGAGAAAAAAUUUUUUCAACGAAUGGUGAUAAGAUAAUGAUAAAGAAUCUAGAUACAGAUGUUACAUCCAAUAAAUAAAAAAUAAGUGAGAAUGGAUCACAGACAUCAAUGAAGAACACUUUGUAAAAGUAGAAAAUAGAAAAUAUAUUCACAUAAUACAGACCUAAAAAAUUUCCAAACCUUUCAGUGAAGUACUAAGUCAUUUUGCAUUUUUAGUUUGAUAUUGCCAUUUCUAUUCAACAUAAUGGUGAGUGGUUUAACUGGAUCAAAUGGAUUAUCUGGACAAAUUUAACACAUACAACUUGGAAAGGAAGUAAGAUUCCUCACACGAUUGUGUAUGGCAAAUUCAGCAGUGCAAAAGAAUAUCAGUAUACAAGUUUCAUUUCUAUACAUCAAAAAUGAUAUUUAAGAGUACCAUUGACAUAGUUUCAUUUGAGGCAGCACUAUAGUAUCCACAGCUUUGGUGGCUGAGCAGUCUCUUAAUUUUUCUUGAUUUCUUAGCUGAUAAAUCUGAAAAACUGUAUUGUUUUGCCCUUACUACAAUAGGAAUCACUGUGUCCAACCAAGUCUUGAUUCUUGCACUUAAAUUGGUCUUAGCUCAUUCAACCAGACUGUAAAUACAAUGGAUGUAUGGCAAAAUCAAGGAACACUCUCCCAAUAUAAUGAGAAAUACUAAAAACCCAAAGAGCUAGGAAGACAUCUAUUUGGUAAAAUGCUUUUAAAGCAUGAAGAUCUGAGGGUGAGCCCUGGAACUCAUGUGAAAAUGUCAUGUAUAUUGCAUGUUUGCAGUCACAGUGCUGGAGUGGAAGGAAGAGAAUCCAAAGAACUUAGUGAUUUGCCAGUCUGGCCUAUUUGGUGACCCAAGUCGAGACUAUCUCAAUGGAGGUGGGUAGCAUUUCUGGUUAAGAAAGUGGAGGCUGUCCUGUAACUUAGAACACAAGAAUAUGCACAAACAUGUGCCUACAUGUAUAUCUUUGUAUAUAAAAGAACAAGGCCAGUAUCAAAGAAAUACAAGUCAUGUUCCAGUAAACAACUCCAAAAACCCAGGCACAUUAACUUAGUGACAAUUUUAAAUGAGUUAAGAAUAGCCAACUAAGAGAGAACCUGGAGAGUACAAUCUGAAAAACAAUACAUGAACAAAUGAGUUUCAAUAAAGUUAUAGAAAGCAAAGCCAAAAUCUGGAGCUGAAGAGUACAGUGAAAGGAAAAUUGUAAGACUGGCUCAAAACUAGAUUGUUCAAUUAAAAUUGGAAACCUUGACCUUGAAAGAACACUUGGACCAAAUGGAUUUAACAGAUCUAUAGAGCAUUUCAUCUCAAAACAAAAGAAUAUACCCUCUCAGCACCUCAUGAACCUUCUCCAAAAUUGGCCAAAUAAUCACACAAAAAAAUCCUCAAUAGAUACAAGAACAUUGAAGUAAUCUCAUGCAUUCUAUCAGAUCACCAUAGACUAAGGCUGGACUGAAAAAACCAUUGAAAAACCCACAUAAUUGUGGAAACUGGACGCUCUAGUCAAUGAUAACUUGGUCCAGGAAGAAAUUAAAAACUUUCUAGAAUUCGAUGAAAAUGAACGCAUAGCAUACCCAGACUUAUGGGACACAAUGAAAGCAGUGUCGAGGACAAUAGCACUAAGCACCUUCAUAAAGAAACUGAUCCUAUACUAGCAAUUUUACAGCACACUUGAAAGCUCUAAAAUGAAAAGAAGCAAACACAUCCAAAAGGAGUAGAUGGCAGGAAAUAGCCAAACUCAAGAUUGAAAUCAACCAAUUGGAAACAAAAUACAAAAACUCAACAAAAUCAAGAGCUAGUUCUUUGGAAAACACCAACAAGAUAGAUAAACCCUUAGCCAAACUAUCUAAAGGACACAGAGGCAGUAUCCAGUUUAACUAAAUAAAAAAUCUAAAGGGAGAUACAACAGGUACUGAGGAAAUUUUUAAAAACAUGUUACUACAAAGCCUUUACUCAACAAAACUGGAAAAUCUAGAUGAAAUGGUUGGCUUUCUAGACAGAUACCAUGUACUAAAGUUAAAUCAAGAUCAGGCAAACUAAAAAAAGGCCAAGCGCCAGAUGGUUUUAGUGCAGAAUUCUACCAGGCAUUCAAAGAAGAGCUAAUAUCAAUACUUGUCAAACUAUCCUACACAAUAGAAAUGGAAGGAACACUACCUAAUUCAUUCUGUGAAGGCACAGUUACUCUGAUACCUAAAUCAUACAAGAGACCCAACCCCAGAGAUGGUUCAAUAUAUGAAAAUCCAUAAACAACAUCCACUCUAUAUACAAACAGAAAAAAAAAACCAUGAUUAUCUCACUAGAUGCUGAAAAAGCCUUUGACAAAAUACAAAUGUCCUUGAUAUUAAAAUUCUUGGAGAGAGCAGGAAUUCAUGGCACAUAUCUAAACAUAAUAGCAAUAUACAGCAAACUGACAACCAACAUCAAAUUAAAUGGAGAGAAACUUGAAACAAUCUCAUUAAAAUCAGGAACAAGUCUGCUCACUCCCCAUCUUUUAAACAUAGAACUCAAAAGUUAGACAAAAGAAUCAAGGGGAUAUAAAUUUGAAAGGAAUAAGUCAAGGUAUCACUAGUUGUAGAACUCCUACAGCUGAUAAGCAACUUCAGAAAAGUGGCUGGAUAUAAAAUUAACUGAAACCAAUCAGUAGCCUUUAUACAAACAAUAGAUGGGCUGAGAAAGAAUUUAGGGAAACAACACUCUUCACAAUAGCCACAAAUAAUAUAUCUUGGUGUAACUCUAACCAAGUAAGUGAAAGAUCUGAAUGACAAGAAGGGAAGUGGGGAGUGGGAGAGGGGAAUCUGAUCUUGUAUUGAGUGAGGGAAAAGGAUUGAAGCCAUGAGGACCAGCAGAAAGAAUCAAAACAGGCAACCUCAGGAAAUAGGAGGUUGGGGGACUUACCCCCCCCCCCAGAAUGAACCAGAGACCUGGGAGGUUACCUUAGAUGAAACACCUGACAGUAGGGAAAGGGGUUUUUUAAAGCCCACCUCCAGCAGGAAGACAGGACAUCAAGUGAGGGAUGGGGUUGCCAUCCCAUAGUCACAUAUCUGACCCAUAAUUGUUCCUGUCUGAAAGAAUUACAAGGAUGGAAACGGAGAGGAGCCUGAGGAAAAGAAGGUCCAGUGACAGGCCCAAAGUGGGAUCCAGCUCAAGGGGAGUUCCCAAGGCCGGAUACUACUACUGAGGCUAUGGAGCACUCACAAUAAGGGAUCUAUUAUGACUGCCCUCCAAAAGACCCAAAAAAUGCAGCUGAAAGAAGCCGAUGCAGAUAUUUGCACCCAACCAAUGUUAAGAAGCAUCUGACCCCUGUUGUUGAGUUAGGGAAAGCUGAAAGAAGCUGAGGAGAAGGGUGAUCCUGUAGGAGGACCAGCAGCCUCAAUCUGGACCCCCGAGAUAACUCAAACACUGGCCCACCAAACAGCACAUACCAACUGAUAUCAGUAGAGGACUUCCAGGUCUGUGUUCAUUCAGAGAUGCUGAACUUAACCCUCAAGAGACUGGAGGCCCCAGGGAAUUGGGGAUAGAUAGGGGGUGGCAAAAAACAAAAUAGAAGACCUUCGAAGAUGGAAUGAUCUCCCAUGAUCAUGGACCGGUAGGAUUAACAUAAACAUCUUACCAAAAGUAAUCUACAGUUUGAUGCAAUCUCAAAGUUCUAAUACAGUUCUUCACAGACAUGGAAAGUGUAGCUCUCAACAUCAUAUGGAAAAACAAAGACCCAGGAUAACAAAAACAGUCCUUAAAAGUAUAAAAAUCUUCCGGGGGGAAUAAUUCAUGACUUCAAGCUGUACUACCAAGCAAUUGUGAUAAAGACCACAUGGUACUGGUACAGAGACAGAGAAAUCGAUCAAUGGAAUAGAAUCAAAGACCCAGAAAUAAGCCCACACGCCUAUGGACACUUGAUCUUUGAUAAAGAGGGCAUUUGAAAUCAAGAAAAUAGAAAAAUGAAAAGAUCUAGAGAAUUUGUGGAAUCAAAUUGUGAUCAUUAACUUUUAAAUUUCCCAAAUGUAGAGGUUAAAUAGAAGAGACAGAAAGAAAAUUUAUUAGAAAGUGCAUAAACAUUUGAGAACCAGGACAAUCCAAAGCAUUCUCAGAGGCCCUAAUGAAGGGAGAAAAGUAAUCUCUUUAUUCCAAACUUUCAUCUAUCUAUUUUUAGAAAACCUGGUCCUCUCUCUCAAGGUUCUGUUACUGAAAGAUGGUCAGCUAGUCCAUGAUAGUAAAUAAUCAUUGAAAACUUUCAGAUGUAUGAACAAUAUGGACAUUUAGGUAUAUGACAGGUUCAAUACGAAAAUGUAGAUAAUAUACAUUACAGAUUCAAAGAUUAAUUCUAUCCGUGUAUUUAUUAGCAAAUAUCUGUAGGCAAGGAGAGAAAAAAAUAUGAAAUUCACUGGUUAAGUAUAGAGUUAAAACAACCAGCCAAACAAAAACAGUCACAAACCUCUUUUUAAAGAGCAUAUAGACCAAAAAAUAAAAUAGAAAUUUGGAAUACAUUACACAUGGAAAACAAAGGAGGGACAAAAUUAUGAAGAUAUCGUCACUAUAUAAUAAGAGAAUCUAUUAAUGGUGAGGUCUAGCAUUUGUAACACACUGUCUUAAAACUUAAGACAUGAACAUAUAAACACCUGAAAAGGUUAUAAUAAAAAUAAUAAUAAAUCCAAGUUUAUAUCUCAUGGAAUUAGAAAGGAAAAAACAUCCAUACAUGUCAAAGGGAUAGAAAGAGAGGCUAGUGCAGGUAUAAAUUAAAGACUAAAAAAUUUAAAUCACUUUCAAACUCUUUAAUUAUUGAAGAUAGGAUAGUUCUAAACCAAUUAAUCUUUCAGAAAAGGCCAAAGUCAUCAACAGUAUUCCAGUAAAACAUAAAUGUUUCAUGUACUAAUGUCACAUCGACUCCUAUUUUACAAGAGUCUUUUAACAAGUAAUGAUUUUUGAGAGGUUCAGAAAAAUUUAAAAUGUAUCAUUUUAUGAUAAAAAUGUGAAAUUUAGUGCUGAAAUGUUUUGAUAAAGCACAUAUGUGUGAAGCUUACAGUAAAUAUCAAGUAAAUAUUGAGUAACUGAAUUUUCUUGAACUAAAGUAAGAAAAUCAUAGCUAUGGAGCAGAUAAUAUGACUAGUAGAUAAAAGGUAUUGCUACCAAACCUAAUGACCUAAACUGAAUCCUUGGGACUGUUAUGGUAGAACUAACUUUUUCAAGUUGUCCCUUUAUGAUCACAUGAGUGUAAAGGCAUUUGCACAUGCAAGUGUAUGAAUACAAACAUAAUAAAUAAAUAAUGAUUUUUUUAAAAGUAAGUGAUGCCCUUUGUUACGAAUUGGAUCCAAGAUAAUGAAAGUUCUAGCUAGAGGAAUUCAGGAUGGGGAGUGAGAGCAACAAAUCCAAAAGGAAAAAGUAAGAUGUAUAUUUGCAAAUGAUAUAACUGUACAGAAAAAAUGUUAUUGCUUAAGAAAUUAUUAGAGUCGUCAAAUCAAAGUUCAAUAUAUAGAACUACACAAGAAAUAUCUACAUUUCUUUAUAUUAACAGUAAACUUCCCAAAAGGGUAAUUAAGAAAGCUCUUAAGCAAAUGGUGCCUCAAAUCAGAAAUAAAACCUUGAAUAUAUCAGUUAGUUUGGACCAGAGUAUCAUGACCAUUUAUCAAUGAAAAGUUUGUUAUUUGAACAAAUAGUUUUGGGGGAACUGGGUAUUAAGAUUUAGGAAAAAAGAAUGUAGCACUUUUAAAUCACAGUAUAUAAAAUUAACUUAAAAUGUAUCAAAAAUAUAAAUGUAAGUAUACAUUUUGAAGAAUAAUUACAUUAUAUAGGACAUUAAUUUCAUGAAUAUACCACCAAUUGUAAAGACAACAAAAGACUGAACUUCAUGAUAUGUAGGCAUAAGUUUAACCAAAAUAGCAAAAUAUGUUUGCUAAAUUGAAGAUGACAGGAACAUAUGUAUAUAUGAUUCCUCUUUGUGGAUCAAAAGACUUUUAGCACAUUCAUACAGCCCAAAGUAAUGCACGGAUUGAAAGUAAUCUUAUUCUGGUUUUAGGCUUUCUUUAGAAAAGUAAAAUUCUAAAAAUAUGAAUUGACAAGGAAAGUUGAAUAGCUGAGCAUUUAUGACAUAAAAAUAGCUGGACCCAUCACACACCUUGAUUAAACUACUCAUAGGAACAGACCAAUUGUAAACAAUGCAGAUCCUCAUACUGACAUAUAGAUGGACAAUUUACCUUCCACACAGGAAUUAUGAAUACACAGAACAGAAUACUCAUCAAAAGAUGGUAUGUAAAUCCUGUAUAUGCAAGUAAAAAAUUGAAAUUGGUUCUAUAUCAUACAUAAUAUGAUCCCAAGUAUGCUAAAAAUUUAAUUCUAAAUGAGAACUCCUAAACUGUUAAUUUUGACAGUGAUUUUAACAAUUUCUUUUUAAGAUACAAUAUCAAAAGUCCAGAAAUAAAUGCAAAGUUGCUGCCUAUCACAGGUUCUGUAGUAUGAAGAGGAAACAAAAAUAAAAAAGAUAACAUACGUAACAGAAUAAAAUAUUUCAAAACUACAUCUAAUGUUUUAAAAUGUAAACUAUAAAAGUAACAAAUAUUUCAAUAACAAACGAUAAUAAAAAUAAUCUAAAUAUGACUCAGACAAAAGACAGAGUUAAACAUUUUCCAACAUACACAUACAAAAAAGAAUACAAGAAGUGCUCAGUAUCACUAUCUGGGGAAUGUAACUCAGAACAACCAUGAGAUAAUACCUCCAGUAUUUUAGGAAUCAUCAAAAACAGAAAAUCCAAAAAAUAGUGAGGAUAUGGAAGAAUGAAAAAUCUGAUUCUAUGUUUGAGGUAAAUGUAAACUGGCAUAACAAGUUGUAAAUGUAAUAUAAAAUUGGAAUGUAAAUUGGCAUUUGAAAAAAAUUGAAGGACCUUAAAACGUGUCUUUGUGCUCGAAUAGAAUGACAAGUUGUUAUGAUCGCCAGCAUCUGUCUCAUACAAGGAACAUGCUAAUGUAACAAACAAGUUCACUGGUUUUAAAAUAUAACUGAAUUUAACAACAAAAGACUGAAAAUAUAAGCUGAGUGAGACAUCUCAUAAAAAGAAUGUGCCUUAAAAGUCUACCAAUCAUAGUUCAAUAUUCAGAACACACAGAAAAAGAAAAGACCAAAUCCCCGAAUUUGUCAAAUGACCUCUACAUAUGAGCUAUGGAACACAUGCACCCAUAAUCCAAUAUACAAUAAAGGUGAUAAGUCAUUUAUAGUAUUAUGGACGACAGUAGAUUUCAAAGAUGAAAUUCUACAGGCUAAGAGGUGAUGAAGUAAGAUACACCAAGAUCAGAAACAAAGCAAAUUCCAACCAGUACAUUCAAGGGCAUUGUUAGAAAUGAAGGAGAAACAAUGCCCAUCUAAGACAAGCAAAAUCUGAGGGAAUCCCUAAUUACUAGAUCAGCAGGCAUUAUAAAACCACAAAAAGAAGUGGCAAGAAAAAUACUCAACUAAAAGCAAAAUCGUGAAGUCAUCAGUUAUCCAUAAUAACCUUUAAUAUAAAAUAUUUCAAAUUCUGUAGUCAUGGUAGCACACACAUUUAACCCUAGCACUCAGCAGGCAGAAUCAAAUAGAUCUCAAUGAAUUUGAGUUCAGUCUGGUCUACAUGACAAGUUUUAGGACAGUCAGGACUACUUGGGGCAACCUUGCCUACAAUAAAUGUGAUACCUAGAGAAAAUAUGAGAUGGUACUAUAGACAAAUGGUCAAAAUGAUUAUUUCAAAUCUAUAUUUGCUCAGUAUUUGAGCAUAUAGUUCUACAAAACAAUAUCAGACAAAAGCAUAUGUGAGAGAUGUCAGGAUGAUACUUUGUCAAUGGGUUAUCCAGACACCUCACUUCAAAAAAGGAAAAAUCAAGGAAAUCCUAAAAAAGAAAGCAGUGGUGAGAGGCAAGGGCAAGAACAUAAGCAACAGAAAUGAAGGAGACUUGGCAUCAUCAGAAACCAGUUCUCCCACCACAGUAAGCCCUGUAUCCCCCAACACACCAGAAAAGAAAAACUCUGAUCACACUUAAAAUCACAUCUUAGGAUGAUGAUAGAGGACUUUAAGAAGGACAUAAAUAUCUCCCUUAAAGAAAUACAGGAGAACACAUGUAAACAUCUAGAAGCCCUGAAAGAGGUAACACGAAACAAUCUAGGAUCUAAAAAUGGAAAUAGAAACAAAAAAGAAAUCACAAAGGGACACAACCCUGGAGAUUGAAAACCUAGGAAAGAGAUCAGGAGUCAUAGAUGCAAGCAUCACCAUCACAAUACAAGAGAUAGAAGAGAGAAUCUCAGGUGCAGAAGAUACCAUAGAAAACAUGGACACAAAAAUCGAAGAAAAUGAAAAAUGGAAAAAUAUCCUAACUCAAAACAUCCAGGAAAUCCAGGACACAAUGAGAAGUCCAAACCUGAGGAUAAUAGGUAUAGAUGAGAAUGAAGAUUAUCGAUUUAAAGGGCCAGUAAAUAUCUUCAACAAAAUUAUAGAAAAAAAACUUCCCUAACCUAAAGAAAGAGAUGCCCAUGAACUUACAAGAAGCCUACAGAACUCCAAAUAGACUGGACCAGAAAAGAAACUCCGACAACACCUAAUUCACAAAACAAAGAAAGAAUAUUAAAAGCAGUCAAAGAAAAAAGUCAAGUAACAUAUAAAGGCAGACCUAUUAGAAUUACACCAGGUUUCUCACCAGAGACUAUGAAAGGCAGAAAAACCUGGACAGAUGUUAUACAGAUCCUAAGAAACAAUUACUUUUCCUUAAUAUCUCUUAAUACCAAUGGACUCAAUCCCCCAAUAAAGAGGCAUAGACUAACAGACUGNCUACAUAAACAGGACCCAAUAUUUUGCUGCAUAAAAGAAACCCACCCCAGGGGAAAAGACAGUCACUAAGAGUAAAAGGCUGGAAAACAAUUUCCCAAGCAAAUGGUCACAACAAACAAGCUGAAGUAGCCAUUCUAAUAUCGAAUAAAACUGACUUUCAACCUGAAGUUAUCAAAAAAUACAAGGAGGGGCACUUCAUACUCAUCAAAUUAAAAAUCUCAACUCUGAACAUCUAUGCUCCAAAUGCAUAGAUGUUCAGGCAUCCACAUUAAUUAAAGAAACUUUAGUGAAGCUCAAAGCACAUAUUGAACCUCACACAAUAAUAGUGGACAGAUCAUAGAAACACAAACUAAACAGAGACAGAGUGAAACUAACAGAAGCUAUGAAACUGAUGGAUUUAACAGAUGUCUAUGAACAUUUCAUCAUAAAACAAAAGGACUAAGGCUGAUCUACAAUAACAACAUACACGUGGAAUCUGAAAAACAUUCUACUCAAUGAUACCUUGGUCAAGGAAGAAAUAAAGAAAUUAAAGACUUAGAGUUUAAUGAAAAUGAAGCCACAACAUUCCCAAACUUUUGGGACACAAUAAAAGCAGUCCUAACAGAAAAACUCAUAGCUCUGAGUGCCUCAAAAAAGAAACUGGAGAGAACAUACACUAGCAACUUGACAGCACACCUGAAAGCUCUGAACAAAAGGAAGCAAAUUAACCCAAGAUAAGUAUAUGGCAGGAAAUAAUCAAACUCAGGGCUGAAAUAAACUAAGUGGAAACAAAAAGAACUAUACAAAGAAUCGACCAAACCAGGAGCUGUUCCUUUGAAGAAAAUCAACAGGAUAGAUAAACCCUUAGCCAGACUAACUACAGGGCACAGGGACAGUAGCCAAAUUAACAAAAUCAGAAAGGAAAAGGGAGACAUAACAGAAUCUGAGGAAAUUAAAAAAAAAAAGAAUUGUCAGAUCCUACUACAAAAUCCUAUACUCAACAAAACUGGAAAACCUGAANNNNNNNNNNNNNNNAGAAAGACCAAAGAGUGGAUACUUGUAGUUAGAGAGACAACGUUCAUAGCAGAGACUGAAGAAAUGACCAUCCAGAGACUGCCCCUCCUGGGGAUCUAUCCCAUAAUCAAUUAUCCAAUCCAGACACUAUUGUGGAUGCCAACAAGAUUUUGCUGACAGGAGCCUGAUAUAGCUGUCUCCUGUGAUGUUCUGCCAGUGCCUAGCAAAUACAGAAGUGGAUGUUCACAGUCAUUCAUUGGAUGGAACACAGGGUCCCCAAUGACGGAGCUAGAGAAAGUACACAAGAAGCUGAAGGGGUUUGCAGCCCUAUAUGAGGAACAACAAUAUAAACUAACCAGUACCCCCAGAGCUCCCUGGAAUUAAACCACCAAUCAAAGAAAACACAUGGUAGGACUUCUGUCUCGAGCUGCAUAUGUAGCAGAGGAUGACCUAGUUGACCAUCGAUGAGAAGAGAGGCCCUUGGUUUUGUGAAGGUUCUAUGUCCCAGUAUAGGAGAAUGCCAGGGCCAGGAAGCAGGAGUGGGUGGGUUGGGGAGCAGAGGGAGGAGGAAUAAGAAAUUUUCGGGGAGGAAAUUAGAAAAAUAUCUAAUAAAAAUAAUGAUAGCACUGACAAGAAAUCAAAUAAAUUAAACAAAAUCUUUUAAAAAGAGAGAGUGAUGAUUCCCAAAUUAAAGGACCAAUAAAUAUCUUCAACAAAAUUAUAGAAAAAAACUUCCCUAACCUAAAGAAAGAGAUUCUCAUAAACAAAAAAGAAGCCUACAGAACUCCAAAUAGAUCGGACCAGAAAAUAAAUACCUCCCUUCACAUAAUAGUCAAAACAACAAAUGCACAAAACAAAGAAAGAAUAUUAAAAGCAGUCAGGGAAAAUGGUCAAGUAACAUAUAAAGGGAGACCUAUCAGAAUUAUACCAGACUUUUCAUCAGAGACUAUGAAAGCCAGAAGAUCCUGGGCAGAUGUUAUACAGACCCUAAAAGAUGCCAGCUCAGGGUACUAUACCCAACAAAACUCUCAACUACCAUAGAUGGAUAAACCAAGAUAUUCCGUGACAAAACCAAAUUUACAAAAUUUAUAUCCACAAAUCCAGGCCUACGAAGGAUAAUAGAUGGAAAGCNCCAACACAAGGAGGGAAACUACACCCUAGAAAAAGCAAUUAAGUAAUCCUCUUUCUACAAACCGAAAAGAAGAUAUCAAACAAACAUAAAAAUAACAUCAAAAGCAACAGCAAGCAACAAUCACUAUUCUUUAAUAUCUUUUAACCAUCAGUGGUCUCAAUUCCCCAAUAAAAAGACAUAGAUUAACAGACUGGAUAUAUAAACAGGACACAGCAUUUUGAUGGAUACAGGAAACAGACCUCAAUGUCAAAGACAGACACUACCUCAGAGUAAAGGGCUGGAAAAUAAUUUUCCAUGCAAAUCUUCCCAAGAAACAAGCUGGAGUAGCCAUUCUAAUAUAGAAUAAAGUCAACUUUCAACCAAAAGUUAUCAAAAAGGAUAAGGAAGGAUACUUCAUACUCAUCAAAGAAAAAUCUACCAAGAAGAACUCUAAAUUCUGAACAUCUCUAUGCUCCACAUACAAGAACACCCACAUUCAAAAAGAACCUUUACUAAAGCUCAAAACAGACAUUUCACCUCACACAAUAAUAGUGGGAGACUUCAACACCCCACUCUCAUCAAUAGAUAGAUCAUGGAAACACAAACUAAACAGAGACAGAUUAAAACUAACAGAAGCUAUGAAACAGAUGGAUUUAACAGAUAUCUAUAGAACAUUUCAUCAUAAAACAAAAGGAUAUGCUUUCUUCUCAGCACCUCAUGGCACCAUCUCCAAAACUGACCAUAUAAUCGGUCACAAAAAGGCCUCAACAGAUACAAAAAUAUUGAAAUAAUCCCAUGCAUCCUAUCAGAUCACCAUAGACUAAGGCUGGUCUUCAAUAGCAACAAAAGCAACAGAAAGCCCACAUACACAUGGAAACUGAAUAACACUGUACUCAAUGAUAACUUGGUCAAGGAAGAAAUAAAGAAAGAAAUUAAAAACUUUUUAUAACUUAAUGAAAAUGAAGUCACAACAUACCCAGACUUUUGGGACACAAUGAAAGCAGUGCUAAGAAAACUCUUAGCUCUAGGUGCCUCCAAAAAGAAACUAGAGAAAGCAUACACUAGCAGGUUGACAGCACACCUGAAAGCUCUAGAACAAAAAGGAGCAAAUACACACAAGAGGAGUAGAUAGCAGGAAAUAAUGAAACUCAGGGCUGAAAUCAACCAAAUAAAAACAAAUAAUUAUAAUUAAUUAUACAAAUAAUGAACAAAACCAGGAGCUGGUUCUUUGAGAAAAUCAACAGGAUAGAUAAACCCUUAGCCAGACUAACCAGAGCGCACAGAGAUAGUAUCCAAAUUUACAAAAUCAGAAAUGAGAAGGAACUCAUAACAACAGAAACUGAGGAAAUUUUAAAAAGUCAUCAGAUCCUACUACAAAAGCCUAUACUCAUUAGAACUGGAAAAUCUGAAUGAAAUGGAAAUUUUUCUAGACAGAUACCAGGUACCAAUGUUAAAUCAGGAUCAGAUAAACCAUCUAUACAGUCUAAUUAUAAUUGGUGGUGAUGUUGCAUAACUGAAGGCCACAAAAUAAUGGGUAAAGAUUCCAUCUAGAAAUCACAUACACAUAAAUUAGAGAUUAGUUGAAACAAUACUAUACAAUGAAUAGUAUACCAACGAAUGAGAAUAUACCAACUAUCUAUGAAUGGGUAAUAUAUUUCUUUUUAAAUAAAUAAAUUGAAAUAAUAAGAUGAUUACAUAUAUUUGUAAGAGCCACAAAUAAACUCUAAACCAGAAAACACUACAAUUUGUUACUUACAAGAGUUGGGGCUUAUGAAUAUAGAAGGGAUAUGGGAGGAAAAGGCUUCUUUCAGUAGAUUGUUUUAUGUCAUUUUUGACUUUUAGAAAUAUAUUGAUAUUUUCAAUAUUUUAAUAACAAACAUGUGGGUAGUUUCUAAAAAAACAGUGGGAUAAGAAGCACAGGCUAAAGUCUCAGUAGGGUAGCCAUAGUUCUAGGUACUGGGGAAAAGGUUUGUAAGAAUGAUAGCCUAGGAGUUCAAGAGCAGUCUGGAUAAUGGCAAACCUCCAUCUCUCUAAACCACUGGCUCUCAAAUUUUAUGUCAUGUCCCCUUUCACAAAGGUCACAUAUCAGAUCACCUACAUAUCAGAUAUUUACAUUUUGAUUCAUAAUAGUAACAAAAUUACAGUUACAAAGUAGCAACAAAAAAUAAUUUUUAUGAUUGGGGAGCUCCACAACAUUAAGAUCUAUAUUAAAGGGGCACAGCAUUACAAAUGCUGAGAAACACCACUCUAUAGCAAAUUCUCUAGCAAAUUCUCAUCUUUCUAAAGAAACAAUCAAGCGAAUACAGCGUUCAAAGGCAACGGUAAAACUGAACAAGACUGUCAAAAACAGUGAUUUCAGAAAUGUAAAUUAAAGUCACAUAACAAACUGAAAAGUUCCUACUGAAGAAAACCAUUAAGGUUUUGGAGUAGAAACAGAGUACUUAUUUCAGUUGUGAGGACCCUAUUUAAUCCCAAUUAUUUAAAAAAAAAAAAGCUACAAAGGUAAAAUCUGAUAAAUCUCCAUAGAAAUUGCAAGGUCUGUGAAAAUUUAACCUAAGGCUGCCUUUCCCAUACCCAGAUGAGUACAAUAGCCUUGACGACUAGCAGCUUUUCUUCUGAUGAAGAAGCCUAACCUAAUUUGAACUCUAUCACCAAUCUCAUUCUCUAUGUCAAAAAAUAGUGUCCUCAAGACAUAUACUGGGUAACGCCACUGUUAUAGCAAUCUGACACUCUAGCACUGGUUGUUGCACAUAAAUUUUUAAAAAAAGUAAAUUCUUAGAGAUAAGAAAGAUGGCCUGUACUCUCAUAAGAGACCAAAAGUACUCUCCUUAUCUACAUUGCUGACUCUGAGACACUGUACAGACAAGAUGGUAAAACACAGGACAGUUGUAAAGAGCCCAAAUGUUGAAUGGAAAUCCCAAGGCAAAGCCCUUUCAGGAAAACUUGAAAGAUUUACCAGAUUGAGAUACGUAAAACAAGGCCUCUGACUAAUGGUGGCUUAAGCUGAUCAAUUAAACCAAGCUUUAAAAACAAAGACAGUCAUUUUCUAAAGAGCAAACUUGAAGAUAAAUCAGAUACACACACUGCAGGGAAAUGCAAACACCAUAGAAGCAAAAUUGGCACAGGCAUGGUAGAAACAAGCAAUUGCCCACGUAGAUGGGAAAGAAGUCAAACGUAGUGUUCCUACAAUCAACACAUCAUCCUAAGUGGAGAAAGUGGAUAGAGAGAUUAAAGAUUUGUAAAUAGAAAUGAUCAUUGAGAGAACCUGAAUACUAGUUUUAGUAGGUCAAGAUUUCAAAGUAUAAAUAUUCUCACACUAAAAUAAGCCUUGUUUUAAAGAAUAAAAGUAAAACAUUAUAAUAACUCAUCAAAUGAUAAUGUUAAUAAAGAGAUAUAUUAUAAAGUUCAGUAAGUACAAAUUACAAUAACUUAAAUGAAAACCUUCAUUGUAGAGCCAGAUUGCAAGAUAAGAUUGGAGCAGAGAAAAAGAAUCAAUGAAUUUAAAUAUAGAUAUAUAAAGAUUAUUCAGUUUAAAGGACAGAAAAAACAGAGUAAGGAAGAACAAUGAACAGAAUCUCAGAGAUCUUUUAGCUACCAUAAGAGUAGGUGUUACCACGAAUUUCUAUGUAAAUUGCACCAUGCAAUCCUCUGCUCCACUGAAACAGAUGGUGGUGGAUGCUGAUAACCUCAGUACUCAAGUGGUGGAAGUAAGGAGGUUUAGAAGCUCAAGGUCAUUCUCAUCUGCAUAGUGAGUAGUUUAGACCACCCUGGCUACAGGAGACCCUGUCUAUAAACAAACAAAACAAACACCAGUGCCUGACAUUGUACUUAAUGGUAGAAGAUCUAAUGCUUUCCCUUCAAAUCAAGAAUAAGUUAACUGAGUAUAAUGGCAUACAAAUGUAAUUCCACCUCCCCAGAGGAGGGUGAAGAAGAAGAAAGAUAAGUUAGAUGGCAUCUUGGGCUAUAUAGUUGUCUCAAAAAAUAAACCCAGUCACCCCCAAUUGAGUCAAGGGGACCUGUUUUAUCACUUCUAUUCAAUAUUGUGUAGAAGUUCUGAUCAGUUAUACAAGAAAAAGAAACAAGACUGAAAAUAAGUAAAAUUAUGUUUCUAUAUUUCACCAAAAUACCAAGAUUGUAAAAUAUAAAACCCAAUCAUAUUUCUGUGUACUGUGAGAGACUAAUGAAAUGAAGAAAACAAUUCAAUUUAUAAUAUAAAAAAUGAAUAAAUCACAAGGUAUGAGUUACUUAAUGCCAGAGAGAAAUACACUUAAAAUUACUAACUUAUAAAUUAUGUGCUUUUUUUUUUUUUACCAAAAUAAAGGGAACAAGAAGUAUACAAACUAUACUCUAUGAAUGACAGGAUAUCACUGAAAGUCUAGAUCUAAAUAAAUUAGUAGAUAUCUUGUGAUUACGAAUUGGAAGACUUGAAGUUAAGAUGCGUAUGGUCUUCAAGAUGAUGUAGAAACCUGAUCUUUACAAAAAUAUCAGGUGUCUUUUCUAGGAAAUGACAAGCAAUGUUUAAAAUUAUGUAAGACCCAAAUGACUACAAUAGUUAAGGCAGCCUCCCAAAUCAGUCAAGUUCACACUUUUCAAUGUAGAGACUUACUACACACAACAAGCUACUAUGUAAGCAUCACACCGAAUAGACAUACAUAAGAGAGAUAGAACUGAUAGUCUAUUAAAUAGUUUAUGAAAUAUAAAAUCAAAUAGCAAUGGUAAGUGGACUUUUGAUAAAGGUGCCACAGAAAUAAAUGAGGGAAUGAACAGUGCUUUGGACAGAUUUUUCUUCAAUAGCUGCUUAUAUAUGUAAGGGAAAUAAAGUUGAAUAGUUCCCUGCAACUACAUGUAAAAGCUUAAAAUGAAUCAAAGACUUAAAAAUAGCAAUUAAAUUUUGUACAACUCUUAUAAAACAACAUAAGAGUCAAAUCUUUGUAACCAAAUGUUUGAUAAAAGGUUUUUUUUUUUUUGUUUUUUAGGUAUAAACCAAAAGUAAAAUAAAGAACUGAUUCAGUGGACUUUAUUAAAAACUUAAAAAUUUUAUGCUUGGGAGUGUGCUACAAAGAAAGUGGAAGAUGUAGAGAUGGCUCAGCUUUUAAGAAUAUUGGCUGCUCUUCCAGAGGACCGUGGUUGAAUUACCAACACCCAUAUGUCAGCUAAAAUAACUGCUGUUCUAGGGGACCCAAUAACCUUAGAAAGAUAUACAUGCAAACAAAACAUUAAUACACAUAAAAAGGAAUUAUCAAAAACAAUUAAAGAAAGUAAGAUGGCAAUACACAGGUGUGAGAAAAUACAAAUUGUUGAUAGAAUAUUUGUAGCAGGAUAAAUAUGAUAUAUAGCAAUAUACACAUAUAUAUGUAUAUAUAUGCAUAAUUCAAUAUAUAUAAUGCUCAGAACUCUUUGCAAUUCAGACAUACAUACACACACACACACACACACACACACACACACACAAUCUCAAUUUUAAAAAAUGAAGAAUCUAUGGCCUGUGAACCUUUUAAUCUUAGCACUUCAGAGGCAGACAAGAAGUUCUCUACGAAUUAAAAAAUAGCUCCAGUAAGGACCAUGUCAAUAGAAUGAGAUAGAUAACUAUAGAAGGGGCAAAAGACUGAGAAAUCAUAUACUUGGCUUAGGACUUCUUAAAACUUAGCAUAAAAGGAAGUUCAGUUGGAAAAUUAUUAAAUAAUUUAAAUAAACAGUUCACUGAAUGGAAGCAUGUGGAAAAAAAUGAUUCAUUAUUACUAUCCAUUGGCAAAAUACAAAUUUAAACCACAAUAAGAAAUUACUGUGCCCGGCAUGGUAGCAUAUGCCUUUAAUCCCAGCACUCUGCUACACAAAGAAACUGUUUCUCAAAAAACCAAAAAAAGAAAAUUUACUGCAUGUUUACCAGAAUUGGUAAAAUGAAAAAUACUGUCAAUAUUAAAUGAUCUAUAGCAAUUCCAAAUUAGGAAUAACUUAGAAGUCUGUGGAUGAGUGAGUGGUUAAAAAUGUGGUCUAUACAUACCAUGAAAUUCUACCCAGCAACAAGCCUGAAUUAACUACUGAUAUAUAAAACAACUUGGAUGAACAUCUAGAAAAUUAUGGUAAAUUCUAAAAAUGGUCAAAUUUCAAAAGAUGUUUGAUUCUAUUUAUAUAGCAAUCUCAAAAAAGCAGAUCUAUAGAAUCAAGAACAGAUUAGUGAUUACUGGAAAUUAAGGAAUGGUGGGAGGGAAGACGGUGUGGCUAUAAAAGGACAAACAGGGAUCUUGUGGUAACGAAUAAUAUUCUGUAUCAUUGAACCAGUGUUUCCAUCCUCCUUAAAUUGCACUACAGUUUUGUUACUACUGGGAAAAACUAUGUAUGAGUUUUUCAAACUAUAAAUGAUCUCUUUGCAUUAUUUAUUACAAAUGCAUGUGAAUGUCUAAAAUUAGAUUAAAAGCUUGGAUUUUAGAAGUGUGCAAAAGGAAGUCAGUAAGAAAGUGGGCAAAGGGGCUUUCUGCUGAGCUUAAUAACUUGAGUUUUAUUCCCAAGACUCAUAUUGUAGAGGGAGAGAAGAAACUCCCACAAAUUUUCCUCUGCUCUCCAUGCAUGUAUUGUGGUAUGAGUGUGCCAUCGCCUUCCCAUAUCUGUGGAAAAAAUACAACUGUGCAAGGAUCUAAAUACAUAUACCAGUAAAGAAGAUACACAACUGACCAAUAAACACAAAAAAUAUUCAAUACCAUUUAUAAAGCACAUCAGGACUGAAAUCAGAUAACAAAAUACUAGGUAGACAGUUUUUUUCUCAGCACUUUUUGGAUGGGGUACUAUAGAUGGAAAAUCAUUUUUGCAGCUAC
rnacentral:lncRNA from 1 species